CACCCUUUAUGACCAAUCAAAGUGACACAUAGAUUAUUAAUUAAAAAAUAUUAAAUUAAACAAAAAAUAGCUACAAAAAAUAAAAACGCUAAUUUUAACGACGCUACGCUUCCAGCUAAACCCUAAAUCCUAAAUCUUAAAUUCUAAACCCUAUACCCUAAAUUCUAAACCCAAAUCCAAACCCCUAAACCCAAACCCUAUACUCUAAACCCUAAUCCUAGACCCUAAACCCAAAUUAUAUAUCCUAAACCCAAAAACUAGACUAUAAACCUAAAUUCUAUACCCUAAACUCAAACCCUAUACCCUAAACACAAACCGUAAACCUUAAACCCAAAUUAUAUAUCCUAAACCCAAAACAUUAACUAUAAGUCCAAACGGUAAAUCCUAAACCCAAACCGUAAAUCCUAAACCUAAACCCUAUACCCUAAACCCAAGUCUUAGACUCUAAACCCAAACCGUAAACCUUAACCCAAACCCUAUAGCAUCUAAGUUUGGGAUUUGAUUUUAGGGUUUACCAUUUGGGUUUUAGGUUUAGGAUUUGGGUUUAGGGUAUAGGUUUUGGGUUUAGGAUUUACGGUUUGGGUUUAGGAUUUACCGUUUGGACUUAUAGUUAAUGUUUUGGGUUUAGGAUAUAUAAUUUGGGUUUAAAGUUUACGGUUUGGGUUUAGGGUCUAGAACUUGGGUUUAAGGUAUAGAGUUUAGGUUUAUAAUCUAGUUUUUGGGUUCAGGGUAUAUAAUUUGGGUUUAGGGUCUAGGAUUAGGGUUUAGGGUAUAGAGUUUGGGUUUAGGGGUUUGGAUUUGGGUUUAGAAUUUAGGGUAUAGGGUUUAGAAUUUAAGAUUUAGGGUUUAGGGUUUAGCUAGAAGCGUUAGCGUCGUUAAAAUUAGCGUUUUUAUUUUUUGUAGCUAUUUUUUAUUUAAUUUAAUAUUUUUUAAUUAAUAAUCUAUGUGUCAUUUUGAUUGGUUAUAAAUGGUGGAGUGAAUUUAAAGGUUCACCUUAGGAGGUGAACCUAAGUUCUGUCUUGCAAUAAAUACAUACGCACAUUCAUAUACAUAUAUGGGUAAAAUAUAUUUAUUUAUGAAUGAAUUAAAUGAGUAAGGGAUUUGAUAUUUAAGAUUAUUACUAGUUUUUGACCCGCGCUCAGGUUAUUUUGGAUGAUAAACAAAUUUGAUAUGAAAUAGUAUUUAGUGAUGUUGUACAUUAAUAUUAUGUUAGAAAUUCAUAUUAUAUCAAAAAGAAUUUUUAAAAUUUGUAUAAUUUAUGAAUUAGUUACAGGUUCGGCUUUUGUAUGGAUCCAGGGCAAAGUACCUACUGGGUAAUUUUUGGAUCCGCAAGUCUCUAUCGAGUCUAUGUCCUAUCCGAGAUCCAAUCGAGUAUCCAAAGUACCCAUAAUAUUUUUUGUUUAUUAGGUAUAUUUAUAUAUUUUGAAUAUGUUUUUGAAAUUACAGAUAAUUUUAAAUUUUCAAGUUUGGAUCUUUUUAUAGUUUUGGGUUUUAGGUAAAAUUUCAUUAAAAAAGAUAUCAUAUUCGGAUAAAAAUUUAUGUACUUUUUGGUUCUUAGGAUCAGAUUUUGAGGUAAAAUUUUAGGUAUUUUUGGAUAUUUUAAUAAUUUUACUAUUAUGAUUUUGUUUUGAUAUCAUACUAUGUGCCUUGUUAUAGUGCUUCUUUCUUCAAACUCUUAAGAAAUAAUGUAAUAUCAUAAGUACAUAUGUUAUAAUAGAAAUCAAUUAAUAUAUGAUAUUAGAUUAAUUAUUGUUUGGCCGUAGUGUUUCUUUUAAAUCUAUUAGUAACAACAAUUAACAUAAUUAACUUAGUGUGUUCCUUAUAAAUAGGAUAAAGAUAUUUUGAUUAAUUAAGACAAAUAUUAAAUAAAACAUAUUAUUAAUGAUAGGGUCCAACAAUCUUUCAUAUGUAGAUUUUUAAGAAUCCUUCCCUUUUAAUAAUAUAGAUUAUUAUUCAAGUUGGGUUCAAUCGUCAGACACAAACUUUGAUAUUGUUUAACCAAGUGUCAAACAAAACUCUCGCGAAACAUUCAUGAUACGAAUCACGCAAAGAUCAAAGGAGAAUAAAAGAGAAUAAGACAAGAACAUGAGCACAUACAGAAAUUGAUUGAUUACCAGAGUUCACUCAUGUAGUUACGUCUUUGAAGCUUGGCAAGGCAAAUCACUGAUCACUCUUGAUCGCAACAUAUUCUCAAGAUCACACAAUAGUGAUGAUCUAAAGUUUACACAUCAUGCCACCUUAUGUGUACAACAAGAACCCUCAGAACCGCUUCAAACUUCUUCACAAGCACGACCUUGGUUAAUAUGUUUUCAUGGUUUCUUUGAAGUUGAGAUUUCUCAACAGUCACAUCCCCUUACUCAAUGAUAUCUUUGAUGAAAUAGAGCUUCCUACUGAUGUGUUUAGUCCUUUCAUGAUAAACGCUGUUCCUAGGUAAACACAUAACACUCUGAGAAUCACACCACAUCGUCACUGACUCUUGCUCAAAACUUAUCUCCUUAGAGAAACCUCUCAGCCAAAUUGCCUCUUUAACUGCUUCCACUAGCGCCUUGUACUCUCUCUGUAUUGUAGAGAGAGAUACCACAUGUUGCAAUCCAGACUUCCAUAUAAUGACAUUUCCUCCGGCUGAGAACACAUAAAUUGUAAUCAACUUCCUCUAAUCAAUAUCUGAUGGAAAAUUAGCAUCACGAAAACCUUCUACCUUGAAGUUUUCCCUCUUCAUGAACACUAAGUUGUGAUCUUUGGUUCCCUUCAAAUACUUCAGUAUUCAUUUGACUGCUGACCAAUGCACGAGACUCGGUUUUGACAUGUAUCUACUCACUAACCCACAUCAUAUGCAAGAUCACAUCACGUUCCAAUCAUCGCAUAUAUGAUGCUUUAUAUGGCUUAAGAAUGAGGCAAUAAGGCAUAUGUUCCAUCUAUGUUUCAUGUUCUCCAUCUUUAACAACUGACAGUAAAGUGAGAUCCAACAAGAGUAGUAAUUGCAUUCACAUCUCAUAUUGAAAGUAUGAAGCACCUUUCAAUAUAUAUUGACUGAGAUAAUGUCAGAAUUCCACCAUCACUAUCCCUUUCUAUAUCCAUGCCUAGAAUCCUCUUGGCAUGGCCCAAAUCCUUCAUCUCAAACCUUGCACUUAAUAAUUUCUUUAUCUUGUCUAUCUCCACCAAUAUUUUAGAAGCCACAAACAUAUCAUCCAUAUAGAGAAUUAAGUAGCCAUGUGUUCCUUCAGUCACUUCUUUGACAUAUACAUAAUGAUCGAAAUCGCUCUUCUUGAACUCAAGUUUCUUCCUGAAACUGUCAAAGCAUCUGUUUCAUUGCUUUGGUGUCUGUUUGAGACCAUACAAGAAUUUCUUCAAAUGAUAGACGUAGUCGUCCUGAUUCUUCACUUGAAAUUCCUCUUGAUGUCCCAUAUAAAUAUCUUCCUCAAUAUCCCCAUGAAAAAAUGCAGUUUUAACAUCGAGUUAUUCAAGCUCAAGAUCAAAUUUCAACACAAUCAACAACAGCAACCUUAUAGACACGUGUUUUACCCUACGUUUCACGGAAGCUUCAUCGGACGUCCGCUUCCCGCUUCGGAACCGGAAUCGGAAUCGGAACCUUGUGGAAGCUUGCGGAAUCUCGCUUCCAAAACGUUUCUAAAAUAUUCUCUUUAAAAACCUGUUGGAAGCUUACGAUUCCAUUUUGGAAUCUUGCUUCCGUCUAAUAUUUUAAAAAAUCUCGCUUCUGCGCUUCCUUACGCUUCCGAUUCCACGUACCCGCUUCUGUUUCCAUGUAACAUAGGUUUUACCACAAGUGCAAAGAUAUCAUGAUAAUCAAUACAUUCCUUCUGUGUGUAACCCUUAGUCACGAGUAUUGCUUUGUAUCUUGGUUCAUCUGUUUCUGUUAUAUCAUGUUUCAGCUUGUACACCCAUUUACAUCCGGUGACGUUCUUCUUUUUAGGUCUCAUAACCAGAUUCCAAGUCAUGUUCGUAUCCAAAGAACCCAUUUCUUCUCCCAUAACUCCAUCCCACAGAUCAGAUUCAUUACUGUUAGUAGCUUCAUGAUAAUCCUGAGGCUCCUGUGCACUCACAUCUUCAGCAACUAUAGGUGCAAAUGUUGCAGUAACCUCAUAAUCAUCAAACCUUGAAGGUGGAACAAUCUGUCUGCGAGGUUUAUCUCUGGCCAACCUAUAACUUCCUUGACCAUCAUCUUCUUGUUCUGACUCUGAUUCUGAAUCACCUGAAAUCACCUGAACCUUCUUCAGACUGAACAUUCUCUCCACCUAAAACUUCAACCAUACCAGCACUUGAUAAUGUUUCUCUUGUCUCAAGUAGUCUUUUUGAACAUGUAAAGGAUCUACUGAAACAUCUUCUGUAACAGUUUUCUUUUUCAGAUCCUUAAACACCACAUCCUCAGUAAACACCAUGUUUCUACUGAUGACACAUUUCUCCUCAUCAAGCAACCACAUUUUUGUACUCCUUUUGUACCAGCUGGAUAUCUAGUGAAUACACCUUUGAUCGCCCUUAGCUUUAACUUGCCUUGAUCCUUGUGUGUAUACACCACUGACCCAAACCUCUCUAGGUGAUUAUAACCUGAUUUUCUUCCUAACCACAACUCUUCUAGUAUCACAUUAUCAAUUGCUGAAGUAGGACUUCUGUUAAUUAGAUAGAUGUUGAAACAACUUCUGCCUAGAACUCUUCUCUUAGUCUGAUUCAUCAAGUAAACACCUUACUUUCGCCAUGGUUGUUCUAUUCAUGUGUUCAGCAACGCCAUUAUGCUGAGGCGUAUAAGUACACAUUAUGUGUUUCUCAAUACCUUCUCUUCUACAGAAGUUAUCAAAACUCAGAGCUACAAGUCCUCGAAUAUUUUACGCGUACUAUAUAAGAGUGGUGUCAUAAUCAUAUACUCAUCUCAUAUGGUAUUAUGUUCAUUUCAUAGUUAUAAAACUUUCGGUCAUUUCAAGUAUUUUUAUAAAUUAAUAAUGUUGAGACUAUUAUAUUUAAUUAAUCUAUGGAUUUAUUAUAAAAAAAUUCCUUUUAUUUUCUAUAUUUUUUUUUUAAACUAAGAAAAAAAUUUGAUUUCACAAUUUAUAUUUUCAUUACAUUUUAUAAAUUUGACUUUCAUACCAUUUUAUUAUAUUCUUUGAUGUAUUUGAAAUAUGUAUCAUACAAUAAAUAUGUGUUUUAGAAAUAAUUUUAUAAAUAUCAUCAAAAUAUUAUGAAAUUUUAAGAAAAAUAUAAAUAAACUUCAUUGUAAAUAUAAAACAAACAAUACAAUGUAAUUAUUUGUAGUUAUAUAGACUAUAUAUAAAAUAUUAAUUUAUGAUUUUAAAGGAACUAUUGAUUUACAUGAAAUCUUCUAAAUAUAAUUAUCUUAUCGAUUUGUGUCAUAUUUUAAACUAAUUCAAUUCGAGCGACAAAAUUUAUUAAUUGAUAGUAUUUAUUAAUUUUUGAAUUAGUUUAUACUCCCUCCGUUUUAUAAUAUAAGUAGUUUUGAUUAAAAGCACAAAGAUUAAGAAAAUUAUUAUGUUUUAAAAAUUAUUGUAUAAUAAAUAGGUGAUAUACAAUUUAACCAAUAAAAAUAAGUCUAUUUAAUUUUAUUGGUCACACUGUAUUCAAUAAAUGUAAAAGUUACCUAAAAAUAUGAAAACUAUUUAUAUUUUGAAACAAAAAAAAUUCUCUAAAACUACUUACAAUAUGAAACGGAUGGAGUAGAAUUUAUACUGUAUAUUUUUCCGUGUACCAUAUUACGUCUAUUUUCUGCCAUUUCAUGGUUGUAAAAUUUUGUAUUUUUGCACAAAAAAUGAUGCAACAUAAAUAAUAUUAGUAUUAAAACUAUUACUCAUGAUAUUGGGUUUGUUAAAAUAUUUACAUGGGUUUAUUUGUAAAUAGCUAAAGUGAAAAAAUGUCCAUAACGUGACCACGUACUUUCCAUUAUUGAAAAAAAUGUUAUAUUUAAAUAAUGCAUUUGAAUGUUGUUUAUUUUCAUUUUCCAUUGUGUAUAUGGAUAAUGCAAAUAAUUACCCAAAACUUGAACUUGAAGCCAAAUCCAACCUGAGGGUGUUCUGGAUGCGACAACCAGUCUGAACCCUCUACUCUAAUAAGAAAGAGAAGAAGACCUACAAAGUUAAAAUCAAAGAUAAUAAGUGCUGACAUCCUGAGAGGAGCAAGUACAAAAAUAAGAAACAUUUUGAGAAUCAACUCACUCUCUAGACCAGUGGAUUCCCACUAGUUAAUAGCUCAGGCUCUGGAUGGGGAAGCAGGUCCGUCUAACACAAGUUCACAUCCCCUGACUCAGUUGAUCCCAACAAUCUCAAAGAGGAAUUCAAAUUUUCGGGUUUCUCCACCUCGGAUUCCUUAGUCAUAGCAAGCUAGAACUGUUGUGGGUUAGGGAAUUCCAAAACAGUCCAGCAACUAAGAGAGAUCCACAGAAAGAACUCUCCCAACAUCACAUUCCUCAUAGUGACAAAGAAUCACGACAAGAUGGUUCUCAAGACUUUGGAUUGGAUUCAACCGAUGAAUCACAUCCUGGUACCACCUCAAAUCCCUAGAGAGGGUGGCCUUUUCCUCUCCUGGCACUCUCCCGAAGGAACUCUCACGACAUCACAUUUCUUAUGGUGUCUUUGCUGAAGCUGUAUCACGACAAGAUGGUUCUCAAGACUUUUUUUUGCUUGAUGGACCACAAGUAUGACCAGCCACAUAAUUGUUGAUUAAAAAUAUGAAGACCCCUCCAAACACACUGCACGCACACUCCAAUUACAAAGAUUGUCUGUACAUCGUAUACACCAAAAUGUUUUGUCAGAUUUUACAACCUUGAUGUCGAUUUUUUUUUCUCAUUGCACAUAUUUCCAUAGCAGAAUAUUUUGCUUCGGAAAUGUUGAUCUUUUUAAAUGGAUCCACCAGAGAAAACCAAACCAUGUUUGUGUUGCUUUCAGUUUUGUUUUCAGUCAUGUCGACAUCAUCACUAUCAUCAACAUGAACUUCAGCGUAAGAGAUAUCAUGUUUCACUUGAUUCCUUGACUCAACCGGCCUCACAUAAUCUCCAGCGUUUUAAUUACAUAGCUGCUCAUUCAGAUCAAAGUUGAAUUUAUUCUUCUGAAUGUGAACAGUAUGUGCAAAGGUUACGCACAACUGAACUGAUGCUUUCUUCUUCGCAUAUGCAGUAAAAAAUUUGACUUGGUGAUCAUUAUAGAUAAUAACAGGGGCAGCAGUUUUGAUCAUCUUGCCAGGCAAAAAGCUUAACACCACACUGCAAUUUUUAACUGAUUUCAUGAACCUUUGGAACCAUUGUCUUGAGUUCAUCGAGAGUAGUAUUCGGUUCCAAUGCAAUGAGCCAUCCACGUUUUUCUUCAUCAACAGCAAAGCUUUAUCCAUUAUUGGCGCCCAAUAUCUAUUCAUCAUAGCUUACAAAUACAUUCAGCAUAUUAACCAAGAUGAAGAUUACUAGAGAACAAGAGAAAAUAAUGAUUUUGUUCUUUUUUUUCCUUAAAAUGAAGAAAACGUCAAUGAAAGAAGAAUGUAUCGUGGAGGAGUUUUUUUUGUUGACGCCAUCAAAUCUAGAUAUCAUCUUGAGAUAAAAUUUCCUAACCGAAUUUCCAAAAUUGUAAGAAUUUUAUAACUGUUGGCUGAAACAUUUUCUACCAAAGUAGAACAAAAGGAAAGAGGCGAAAUUUUUGUAUUUUUCAUAGGGUAGAGCUUAAAGAAGAUUGGUAGAUAACACUGGAAAGUACUUUUAGAAAUAUCUAGAAUAUAUAAGAAAUGGUAGAAAUUUGUAUUCUCGAUUUUCAAGAAUUAUGUAGAAGUUAUAAUAUAUUUUUUCUACCAAAUUAUAGAUCAAUAAAUUAGUCGUGUAAUGAACAUUCUACCUAAAUAGAAAUAGUCCAAAUUCUGGAAUAUAUAUUCUGAAAACAGUAGACCAACUCUUUAGAAAGCUUUUAAAAUAGUAGUUUAAAAAAAAUGAACAAUCAUAUUGGUGUGAUUGGUAAAUUCUGUGAGUGCUGUACUCGGCAUUUUUAAAUCUAAAGCAAUCAAGCUUUUUUAACAUUUAUAUGUCUACAGCAAUUUAGAAAAUGAAUGUCUGUGAGAGUGCUUUAGAAAGCCAAAUGUCCACAGCUCAUUUUUUUUAGCUUUCCAAAAAAUUGUAACAUUUCACUUAACUUUUACAGAAAGAAUAUAAUAAAUAAUAAACUUAUCGCAUGAACUAUUUUGAUUACAGACUGGUUUUUAGUUUAAGCAUAUGAACCUAUCGCAUGAACUAUUUUGUUUACUUGUUAUUAAUUAUUUAAUUCAUUUAAUAAUAUUUUGUGCACUAUCUUAUUAUGCUUUUCUAUUUUAUCCAUUUUAAUUUAGUUGUUUUUAUAUCUAAGUUUAAUAUAUUUUUAUAAUAUUCGUAAGCUAUGGCAAAAAAAAUUGCAAUAAUAAUAAUGGCGGGUUCGAGAUAAUAUAUAGAGCGAUUACAAGAUAAUAUUAUAUUCAAGUUAACGUUACUAUUAAUUUUUUAUCAAGGAAAAAUGAUUUUUAUAAAAUUUAAAAGAUUAUUAAUUUAAAUGUUUAAGAAUUUUCGGUAAAAUAAUGUGCUUAAAAUUUAAUUUUUAUAUAUAUUAAUAUGAUGUUAAAUACAUGUAUAUAAUAUUAAUCUACAGCUGAUGUACACCAAUCAAGCUUUUAAAAAAUUUACAGCUAAAAUCUUACGGUCAAAAUUUUAAAGCUACAGCAAAAAGUUUACAGCUAUAAUUCUAAAGCAAAAAAACUAAAGCUAUAGCCAUUACCAAUCAAUUAAACCACGUUUUUAAUUAUUUACUUUAAAAAAAAGCUAUUUUAAUAUUUUUUUUUUUCAAUUAAUGGUAUUUAGAGAAAAAAUAUUUAGAGAAAAAAUAGGGAAAAAGAGGAAAGGUGUAGUGGGACAACAUAUCUGAUAUAUUUUCUAGGUAUUUUGACAAAUCUUUCCAUUUAAUAUCCAACUAGUAUGAUCAUCCCAUGCUAAGAAUAGAUCAAUUUUUUUGCUUGCAUUUUAAUUAUUUUUUUUCAUAUAAAAUUGUAAUGUUCUUUAGUUUUUAAUUAAAAGGAAACAUAAUUAUAGUCACAAAUAUGGAUAACACACGAAAAAUGUCAUAUUUUCUCUAUUCAGUUUUAUCUGUAUUUUUUUCUAAACAGGAUCUUCUCAAAAUAUUUUUUUUGUUAGAAUUGAUAUAGUAAAAAUAAAGCAAAGAAAUUAAACAACGUAUGUAAAAUAGUCAACUUACACUACAAGAAAACAGGGGGAUUCUGAUGGCGGAAAUCGUCGGAAAUUCGUCGGAAUAGACCGAUUCCGACGAAUUUCCGACGAACCCGUCCGUCGGUAUCGUUUCGUCGGAAAAAAAAAAUUCGUCGGAAUUUCGUCAGAACUUCCGACGACUUUCUGACGAAUACCGAGAAACGUCAUUCUGACGAACUUCCGACGAUAUUACGAUGCGGAUACACGAGACCAGAGUUCAUCGGAAAAACUACGUACCGACGGAGAACGUUUCUCGGACAAUUCCGACGUAGAGUGUUCCUCGGUGUAUUCCGACGAACUUUAGGCGUCAGAAUUUACCGACGGACAACGGUCGUCGGAAUAUACCGACGAACCUCGUUCGUCGGUAUAUUCCGACGGAAAUGGGGUUCGUCGGUAAAUUCCGACGGAUAUAUGUCCGUCGGUAUAUUCUGACGACCACUGUCCGUCGGUAUAUACCCAUUUUUUAAAAAAAAUUAAUUUUGCAUUUUUAUAUAUUUUUCGAUAUUAAUAAAUUUAAAAAAUCAGAAAUUUAAAACUAAUAAUAUUAUAAAAUUUAAAUUCAUAAAAACCAAAAUAGGAAAAAACAUUCAUAAAGUUUAAAAUUCAUACAAACCGAAAUAGAAAAAAAAAACAUUCCGAAAGUUUUAAAAAGCCGAAAUAAACUAAGAUGAACUCGAAGACAUCAAACGAUCUAGCUUCUGCAUAAUCUCGGUGUUGAACUUCUUCUGGGAUGCCAACUCAGCAAGGAUACUGGCAUUCUCCGAAAGGAUAGUGGUGUUCUGCUCCUCCAAUGCCCCAAUCCGUUCAUCUUUGUCAUGUAGCUCCUCGAGAAUCAUGGGAUCGGCAUACGGAGCUUGCGAAGAAGAUGCCGGAUACGAAGAAGCACGACGGGCCAACCCAACUAAACGGCCUCCUUUCCUUUUAGGAACCGCCUACAAAAAUAUUUAAAGUAAGUAAAUAGUGACAAGUAAGUAAUCGACAUUAUAAAAAAAAUAUAUUAAUAAGAAAAUUACCUUUUCAACCAUCUCAUUUAUUUGCAAUAGAGAUAUGUUGGUUGAAGCUCCCGUGGAUUCGCCGUCAUCAUAGAGAGGCUGAGAUUGGGCAACUAUUUCAGUUUCCACCAAAUCAACUACACCUUUGAUCACGGGGUCCUGAAUUUGACCCGUCGUCUUGUUAGUGUGAGCCACCUUAAUGAGUUGGAGACGAUCAACGGGAUUACCGUCAUUUGCUUCGAUCUAAAAAAACCGCCAUUAUUAGCCAAGAAAUAUAUAAAAUAUUUAUUUAAAAAAUAUAAAGAUAAAUAAUAAUAAAAAACUUACAAGUUCAUCCUCCUUAGUAGACAUAGAGCAAGCGCCGAGGUUGUGCACAUACAUACCUUUCCCGCCACGAUCGCUCUUCCAGGUCAGACAUAGAGCAAGCGCCGAGGUUGUGCACAUACAUACCUUUCCCGCCACGAUCGCUCUUCCGGUUCCUGGAGUUCCUAGAAGACGUCUCUGCAGUUUCUUCCUUCUCCCAAUGACCUAUCAACUGCUCCCACACCGUCCCGUUGAUGAACCGUGGCUUCUUGUUCUUCUGCCAAACUGUCUUCCACGCGUUUAUCUGCUUUGUGUAAGAGUCCAUGGCCUUCUCGUUGAAUUUCUUACGGACUGUUUCCGUAAGAUCAGAGUGCCAGUUGAACUCUUGCUACAAAACAAACACAAUUUAAUAAGUAAAUAUAUUUAAAAAAAUGUAAAAACUUCAAAAAAAUGAAGAGUUACUAUACCGCAAACUGACGAAACCACAACUCUCGUUCGUCGUUAGGGAUCACACUCCACUUUGGAUAUCCAAAACGGAGCAUGGAGUACAUUCGUCGGUAUUCCGUCGGUAUAAUUAAAAUAUACCAAAUGCCAAUUCGCGAAAAAUUUUCAAGCGGUUUGGUUCUCCCGGGCAAAUUUAAAUUCCGACGGAAUUCCGACGACUUAGUGUUUAGGGUGUUGAUUUCAAGUUUCUAAAUGCAAAAUCCAAAUCUUUGAUAAUAUAUAUAGUAUUUGCAUAAAGAUUUAACAAUAAAAAUGUUUUAUAACACGAAUUUACACAAUAACAUUUUUUGUAGUGUAAGCUUAUAUAAAUAUGAUUGUAUAAGUAUAUAAUGUUAAGAUGAGAUGUUAUGAAAACAAUGAUAUGCAUACAUAAAUAUUUUAAUGAGUUGUUAUAUUAGAACGGUUGCGAUCUAAUACUAUACUAAACACUUAUUAUGUGUUAUUUUCAUAGUUUUGACAUCUAAAUUUAUAGAUUUUUAUGAUUGAAACUUUAUAGAAACAUAUGUUGUCGGUAUUUCGUCGGAAAAUACCGACGACAUACCGACGAACUGUUCCAACGAAAUACCGACGACCUUUCCAAUUUUCAAUGAAAUCCAUUGUCGUCGCUAUGUCGUCAGUAUAUUGCGAGGGAUUUCCGACGGACCAUUAAAAAAAAAAAAAAAAAAAAAAAAAAAAACUAAUCAGAAUCUUCUGAAUCUUCAUCAAACUCCCCAACCUCGGCUUCCGGCUCUGAAUGUACGACAGCAUCAUGUCCAAACACAGUCAAAUUCUCAACGAGUUGAACAUUUUCCAAAUCUUCAACUGCCUGGGCGUUGCUGGUAGACUCUGGUUGCAAUGGUUCAUCAUCAUCAGAAGUUCCAUCCACUCGUCCUCUUGGGUUGAUUUGCGUUACAGUAACCCAUGGAUCGUCUCUGUACGUCACCCGAGGGUAACUGAUGUAGCACACCUAUACAUAUCAAUUAUACAAGUAUUAGUAAAAUAUAUAACAUUAAUUAAUUAUAUUGGUAAAAAAUUAUGAAUAGAUUGACAUACCUGAUCAGCUUGCGAACCAAGAAUGAAGGGAUCAUAAUAUUGAAGUUUCCACCGCGAAUGAACUGAUGUAACACCAAACGCAUCAAUCUUCACUCCUCUAUCUGGGGUGGUGUCAUACCAAUCACAAUAGAAUACUACACAACGCAAUCCAACCAUUCCAGGAAAUUGGAUUUCCAAUAUUUAUUUUAUGUUGCCGUAGUAGACAUCGUCACCAGAAGAAGAUGAAACACCAGCAUCAUAUGUUGUCUUAGAAUGACCUCUCCUUGUGAAUGCAUAUCCUCGCGUACAAAAUUUAGGAUAUGAUUUGACCACAUAGUUUGGUCCCUGCACAAAUUCGCGUAUCCAAUCAUCGAACACAAGACCUCUGGCCAAACCAUCAUUCACCUAUAAAUUAAAAACAUAUAUGAUUGAAAAGUUAAUUAGUUUAUAUAUAUUAAAUUUAAACUAAUCAUUUGCAUAGGGUAAUAUGAUAUAUGACUCACAUAACUAUGAAGCCACGCAGAAAAUCCGUUAUCUCUAAGUUGUCGAAGCUCAUCUUCUGUUGCAUGCCUGUGAGUCAUACGCAACUCCGCCAUAUAUACACUAUAUACAAAAAUAUUAUCAAUAUGAAAUAAAUUUAUUGAAUAUUAAUCUAACAAUAAAUGAAUAAAUAUUUUUACCUCUCAUAUUGUAGACCAUCUUCACAGUUGGUGAGCAAAUAUGUUUGCAAAUGAGCGUGCUCAGUGUCCGUAAGUCUCCGCUUCGUGAAUUUUCCACUAAGUCGUCCUAUUUCCUUGAACAUGCUUGGGACAGUAACAUAAUAUGUUGCUCUCUCCCCUCUAUCAUCAUGCCGAGCAGGUCUUCGGUGUUUUGUAUGCACUUCUGGUGGAAAAUAAUUUUCAGCAAAGAUUGCAGUUUCUUCAUUGAUCACCUGUGCCACUAUAGAUCCUUCCACCCUGCUUUGAUUUUUGACCACCUUCUUCAGAUGAUGCAUAUAACGCUCAAAAAUAUACAUCCAUCUGUACUGCACAAGACCACCAAGUUCCAAUUCUCUUGCGAGAUGAAUAGCAAGAUGUUCCAUUACAUCAAAGAAUGAUGGAGGAAAUAUCUUCUCAAGGUUGCACAUGCUGACUGGUGCGUUUGUCUUCAAAUUAUUAAUACCCUCUUCAGUCACUUAUUGUCCACAUAAGUACUGCCCGCAUCUGAAAGUUUUCUUUGCGCGAAACAUCGUAUGUCUCAAAACCAUGCGCCCAUAGUUGUUGCAACUCGUAUAUUAGUGGUUGAAGAAACACAUCUAGUGAUCUUUUAGGAUGAUCUGGCCCGGGGACGAGAAUUGAGAGAAACAAAAACUCUCGUCGCAUGCACAAGCUCGGCCGUAAGUUGUACGGUGUCACAAUAACUGGCCAUAGAGAAUACUGCCUUCCAUGCUUUCCAAAUGGGCUGAAACCAUCAGUAGAUAAUCCAAGAUAAACAUUUCUUCUCUCUUCCGCGAAUUCUGGAUAUGUUGACUGGAAAUGUUUCCAAGCCUUUGCAUCUGAAGGAUGUCUAAUCUCACCAUUUGUGGAAUGCUCAGCAUGCCAUCUCAUUGCUUUUGCUGUGCGCUCACACUGAUACAACCUCUUCAAUCUUUCCGUCAAAGGCAAAUACCACAUUCUUUUGAAUGGGAUCGGAACUCUUCCCCUCGUCUCCUGAUAACGAGGUUUCCCACAAAAUUUGCAUACAUUCCGUGUCUCAUCCGCUCUCCAGUAGAUCAUGCAGUUGUCAAUACAUACAUCUAUCACGUCAUACGGUAGUUGAAGACCUGCAACAAGUUUCUGAACCUCGUAGUAUGAACCCGGUGCAAGGUUAUCCUCAGGUAGAAUACCUUUGACAAAAUCAGUAAUCGUAUUCAUACAUUCUUCAGCCAAAUUAUAGUCUGUCUUAAUACCCAUUAAUCUAGUUGCAGAUGAUAAGACUGAAUGACCAUCUCUACAAUUUUGAUACAAAGGUUGUUUUCCUGCAUCCAACAUGUCAAAAAAUCUCCUAGAUUCGGGGUUUGGUUCUUCCCCUCUAUAAUGAUCAUGUACCAUCUGCUCAGUACCUACACCAUAAUCUAUAUCCGUUAUAGAUUCUUCUAACCUAAUAUCAGGCUGAGGUUCACUAACAGGCUGAGGUUCGCUAGUACUACCAUAUUCAUAACCAGUUUCCCCAUGAAGGUACCAAACUUUAUAAUUACGUGAAAACCCUUUCAUAUACAAAUGAGUCCAAACAUCAAAUUCUUUUAUAAACUUAUUAUUAUUGCAAGAAGAGCAGGGACAUCUUAACAUACCAUUUUUUGCAUUCGGUUGCUGUUGAACAAGCCUCAUGAAUUCUCCAAUCCCUUGAACGUAUUCUUCCGUAAGCAAAUUGGUGUUCGGAUCCAAAUGAGGUUUAUCCAUCCACAAACGAUAAUAAACUUCUGAAGACAUGAUUUUCACGGAAUUGUUAUGACUAAAGAGAAUGAAGAGAGAAUGAAGUGUGAAUGAGUUGAAUGAGGAGGGGUUGUAUUUAUAGGAAAUUGCUUACGGACCUCCGACGACUUUCCGACGGAAUUCUGACGGAUGUAAAGCAGUCCGUCGGAAUUCCGUCGGUAUUGUCCAAUCUCAAACGGCUAUACAACGGUCAUAUAUAUUUGUCGGCAACGGUCACAUGGUUCGUCGGAAUUCCGUCGGUAUUUUCCGACGAACUUCCGACGACUUUGCUGUUAAUCAGAAUGUCGUCGGAAUAUACCGACGAACUUCCGACGACUACAACGGUUACAUUUUUUAUCGAAAAGUCGUCAGAAAGUUUCGACGAACCAUAUUUCGUCGGAAUUCCGUCGGAAAUGGCCGACGGAAUUCCGACGACUUAAUUUUUUUGGAUUUGGUCAGAAAUUUGUCAGUAUUCCGUCACAAAUGUCCGACGACCUUGGUGUCCGUCAGAACCUCCGUCGGAAUUCGGUGUGUUUUCUUGUAGUGUUAUAUUAAUAGACUCAACCCUUUCUAUAGUUCGUACAGUCCACAAGGACAUCUCGAACAGACUGCUUGCUCUAAACAAUGACUCACCAGAAACCAAUAUGAUGUUAAACAGAUGGAAUGCUCUCUCUCAUUUGCCCUGAAACGUAAGUCUUCUCUGUCCUGCAAUUACACUUUCUCAGUCUUUUGUUUUUCUGUUUUCAAACUUUUUUACUUGUUAAUGUAGAGUCGUAAGCCUAUUCUCUCUCUCAUAUUCUAUUGCUGAAAAAUAGUUUGUAAUACUCUUUUUUUGUUGGUGUAAAUUAACAUUUCAACAACAGAAAUUGUAAGAUAGUGUGCUAUGUGAAAUAGUCAAACCAAACCAAACAAUUUUUUUUACCAAUUUGCACCAUUAUAGUUGUUGAUAGUCUUUUUUUCUUGGUAGAGUGUUGAGUUGUUUUGUUGUCUUUCCCCAUUUUUGAUCAUUAUUUGUUAGCUGUGGGAUAGGCUAUAAAAACAAAUUAUUAAAGAGCAACAUAAGAGAGAAAAUCAUAGAAAAGAAAAUAUGAAUUCUUGUUUUCAGAGUAUGUACCAUUCUUUUCUUUUACUAUGUUUGCUACAGAAAAGGCUUUUUCAUUUUGUUUUGUUUGUUUGUAGUUUGAGAUAUUUUUUUUUUUGAAGGAUAAUGAUUGUUCUUAUUAAAAUCUAGUUUGUCUUUUGUCUUCUUCAUUUCUGUUUUUGUUAGAUGCAAAAGCAAUGCAAGCAAUUUAUCAUAGGAAGGAGAGUACUGUAAAUACCAGUUUUGUAAAUAAUAUAGUUGAACAUACCUAUCGUUAUUCUUGUUGCUGUCAAAGCUUUGAAACAAUAUACUCAAAUGCCAUUUUUAACCUGAAAUAAAAAAAAAUAAAGAGAUUGUUAAUAGAAAAUAAGAAGAAACCAAAUCUUAACUAACAGUGAUCAUGAACUUGUAUGGAAUUUAUUGGGGUAUCAGUAGAAGAUCUCAAUAGAAAGAGAAAAAUUCAAAGUACAAGAGUGGUGGAGAUUAAGAAAAAGAGAUGAAAAACAGACAAAACGAAUAGAACUUGAAGUAAAAAGAAUAAAACUAUGGUGAUGAUUAUUUGUGAUUUUUUUUUUUAGUUUUUGGUUUUUGUGGUUUUUGUUUUUUUCUCCGAUUAAGUUUUAGUUUUUGUUUGUAUAUAAACCAUUUAAUUUGUCAAUCAAGUUUUUUAAAAAAUAGAUAUUCGAAAAUUUAGGGAAACUAGUUUUUCAAAGUUUAAAACUAACUUAUAAAGAAAACCAAAAAUCAACUUUUGUGGGUUUUUAGUAAAAAAAAACAGAUUUUGCUUUCUUUUUGUAGAAAAUAUAUUAUAUUUUAAUUAAUUUAUAGUAAAAUAAAUAAUAUUUUCGUAAAUAUAAAUUGCCAUACAAGUUUUUGUACAUGAAAUAUUAUUUAAAUAUAAUGUAAAAUAGUUAUUUGUUUUUCAUAUAUGUUAAACUAAUUUAGAUAUUUAUAUAUAAUAUUAAUUAAUGGGAUAAUUUGCAAAAUACCCUAUUUAUGAUUUGAAAUUUGAUAAUUGCAUUUUCUAUUUUAACUUUUGAAAAAUACACUUCCUUAAUUAUGAAUUGACCUUUUUACCCAAGAUAUAAUUCGAAAUUAAUAUAUAAAUUCGAAAUUAAUAAAAAUAAUAUCAUUAAAAUUAGGUAAAUAUGUGUGUUGAGAUAAAUAUGUUAUUUUACCAUUUAAAUUUUACAAUAACAAAGAUAAACAUGUGAAUUAUGACUUGUAUUGACUUUAUCAUGAAGUUUAUCCAGAUUUCCCUUUAUUUUAUUUUCUUCAACUUAUAUAAACAAGUCACGUUGUUAAAAAAGAAAAGCAAGUCACGUUUGUUUCUACAAAAUUUUCAUCUUCUCUACCGGAGCCAAGUAAGUUCUAGCUAAUAUGAUGUAUUCGGAUAUGUGUUUUUUUUUAUUUUGAAUAUGAAAAAGAAUUGCACUGAUUAUUAUUCAUCGGUUUUUUCUUCUUUUUUCACGUGUCAUGAAAAUCCAAUAAAUCUGUUUGAGCCAAUGAUUUGAUUCGUGUAUCUUACAAAUUUUUUAAUUUAUGUUGUUUAUAUAGAGAUGGAGUACAAGAUNNNNNNNNNNNNNNNNNNNNNNNNNNNNNNNNNNNNNNNNNNNNNNNNNNNNNNNNNNNNNNNNNNNNNNNNNNNNNNNNNNNNNNNNNNNNNNNNNNNNAAAGAAAGCUUCAGAAAAAAAAAUUAUAAAAAAGUUCUAAUUUGAAAACAUAUAAUCUAAAACUAUAAUUUUUUUUUAUAUAUAUCUAAGGUAUUAAGGUCUUUUUACCUAUUAAAUGAAAUAUUUUAGUCAUUUUCUUCUUCAUGAUCUAUUUUUAUGAUCAAAACUUGAAAAUUGUCUAUUUAGAAGAAUUGUCCAUGUUAAAAUUCCUAAUCCUGAUAUAUUCACAACUCUGUGACAAAAACAGAAAAGAAUAAUACAUACUGUGCAAACGUCGUCUUCCCGUAGCUUUUUAUACGCUGCUUUCAGAAGCUAGACAUGUGUAUCAAAAUUUCAAGAAAUUGUCGCUGAAGUUGCAGAUUUAAGAAAUUUGUAUAACCAAAUGUAAACCAAAUAUAUGUGUAUUAAGGAUCCAAGAGCAAGGACCCCCAAUAAUCAUGACCUAAGGGGUGGGUGGAGAUUUGAGAUUGAAGUUUAAAAUUUUAUAAAAUAAAAAAUAAAUAUUAAAAGAAACAUAUCACAACCUGAUCUUGUUCAACUUCAGCAUGUAUUGAUCCCAUCUUUGCAAUCCAUGGUAAGGUUAUUGAACGUCUCAACACGUGUCUUCCCCCUAAUAAACACCUCUGUAUCAACAGCCACUCUCAUGUACCCAUCAAACUCAACUGGUUUCCCAUUGUUCAAUAGACUCGUCUCAUUGUACCACUCACUGUUAUUCCCCCACAAGUAGCUAUAAUCAUCAAGCAAGUGAACCUUGUACUGAGAUCUCAACUUAUCAAAGUAAUUAUAAAACGGUUCAUUAGUCGCGACGUACAAGUUCCUCCAUGGUUGAACCAAUCCUCUAAGCUUAUUCAAAAUCGCAUCAGGCCAUGUAUCUUCAUCCAAAUGCGGCCAUAGCUUCUUGUCCAUGGCUUUCUCGCCUCUAACAACAUGAACCGCAUCAAAGUCCCAAUCCAUCUUCCCACUAAUCUCAGAGACAAUGUUCAUCAGCCUCUUUGAUUUCCACAGCGUCUGCCACGGUCUUUCAACAUACUUUGAAGCUUCGCCUUCGCACACUCUAUACCAAUAGUUUUCAGGCUCAGGUGCAUCAAACUGUCUCCAUAUAAUCGUGCUCUUAUCUUUACUUAGCUGCAGAGGCGACACUUUAUGCGUCUUAACUUUCCUAACCGCAACUUUCCGCUUAUGCGACCGGUUCCAUUUCUUCCAAUCUCUUACGAACUCACCUUCCUCAACAAUAGAAGCAGAUUCUUUAAGAUGCUCAAAAUCAAAGUAGUACCGAAAGUCCUUACCUUCCUCAUCAACCCCCUUUGAGCUAUAACUCGAAGACAAACACAAACUCAAAUCCAUAACAAAAGUCCUGUUCAAGUACAUAGCCUCUCCUAACCCACACAAGAAACUCCACAUAUACUGAUUCAUACCCUUGCAAUAAUCACCACCUCUUGAGUAAUACAGAUACUUCCCUCUCCUGAAAUUCGUCUGAGAGCCAAGAGUCGGUAUCGUAUCAUUGAUCUCCGGAUCACGGCCGGCGCCACGGGGAGCCUUCGGACCACCGCCGCCGCCUCCUCUUGGCUUGAUCCUAAACCUACGAGCAUUAACACCAGAGUGCCAACCACUAGUGUGAAACACUUCGUAAGUACAAUUCUCACCGAAGGCAAACUUAAACCUCCUGAAAUCUCUGUAUCUCCUCCAAGACUUCUCCUUUUUGUUCCUAAAUCUCCAAGAAACAUCGCACUCGUCGGGUUUCGAACCGUUGACGGGAGUUUCAUACUCUAAGAAGACAAUCGAUUUGAAAACUCUCAGAUUGAAUCUCUGAACAGCGACGAGCACUCUCGGAUCUGAGCAGUUCACGACUUUCAGAUCGUCGCAAUCCACAGAGGAAGAGUUCACCGUCAUGUUCCCGAUCUUCUCCUCCGAUAGCUCGAUCGUCGCCUCCGUGACGGGUCCCGUGGAGUUCGCCGGAGGUGAAAUCGGAGAGGAAGCGAUGUCUUCGCCGGUGUUGAGCAUCGAGCCGUCGAUUUUGAAAGUUGCGUUUUCGUUGGCCGUGAGGAGUUUGGUAAGCGCAGGAGCUGAUUCGAGCCAUGGAUCUGGUGGUUGGUAGGUGACGGCGAUUACGGUGAAGAUGAGGACGGUGAAGACGAAGACGGAGAAGCAGACAUUGCUGAUUAGCUUGAUUAGGUUCUGGGCGAUGGGUUCGGUGGUCAGAUCUGAUUCCUUCAUGGGGGUUCUCAGCGGAGAAGAAUCCAAUAGAUUUAUGGGAGAAGAGAGUAGAUCUGAUGCGAAAUCAAAGAGAAGGGUUCGGUUUUGGGAGUAAGAAGAAUGGACUCUAGUCUUCUCCUUUCUUCCAAACUUUCUUUUUUUUCCGAUCUAUAUUAUUAAAAGGGACCCAUUAAAAAAUAUCUCUAAAUUUUCUAACUUAUUUGGACUUCCCAUGCCAGAUAAUUAAAUUAAACUACAUAUUUUAAUGCUUGUUUUUUCCAGUUAAAUUAAUAAAUUUUCUUUAAUAAAAUUUAAAUUUAAUGUCAUUAAAUAAAUCUACAUAUUUUAAUGCUUGUCUUUUCCACUUAAAUUAAUAAGUUUUCCUUAAUGAAAUUUAAACUUAAUUAAAUGAACCUAUAAAUACAUCAUAUUUAACGUAAAUUAUUACAGACGAGUACGGCCCAAUAAUGAACUUGAAUUUUAUUUUUACGAAAACGUGAAUCACUUGACUUAUGUAAUAUUUAAAAUAUAUUAACUACAAUAUAACAAAUGUAUAUAACCUACCUAUAUUUUAGUUUGAAAUGAUCAUGCUCAAGUUUUAUAUAGUCAACUUACAUCAUGCAUCGAUCGAUGUACAAUAGUCAAACCACCUAUAGUUUUCGUUUUUUUUAUAGGAUGUAUCAAUCAACCAAUCAUCCCACUGAUUUUCUAAGCUUUAUAAAAAAACAAAUCAAUAAAUACAAACUCAAAAUCCAAUAUAUUCUAUUAAUCAAAACAUAAUAUCUUCAAAGACGUAUCUUUAAUGUACCUAUUAAAUAUAGAAACUGUAACCAUAAUUACACUAAUUAUAAGAAUAUAUUUGAUUCCAACCAAUUGAUCUAAUACUUCGGUAAUUGAUUUGCUUGCAGAAGAAGAAACAAUAAAUUUAAAAUUUAUAAGAAUAUAAAUAUAUAGAGAUUCCAACCAAUUGCCUAUAUUUGCGUAUGAUUUUCGCAUAAUAAGCUUCAAAUUGAACAUUGAAAAAGAUAGAGAGAUUUUUUUUAAUCUUUUACCGACACAGAACUUAAACAAAACGAAGAGUUAAAGGUAUUUUUCUUUUGUUACACUUUCCGGAAAAAAACGGUUACAACAUGGGCUUUCAUAAUAUGGUCUUUUAACAUAUUAAUGUUAUGGACAUUUAAUAAUUAUCUUGACGAAAAACAAAGACUAUAAAUAAUUUAUUAUUAACAAAAGUAUGAAAUUAUUUACAAUUUGAUGACUAAUUCAUCACCCUUUUUUAGAUGUUAAAUUUUUCAUAGAAGUUUAAAAAUCAUUUUAUUUUCUUUAAACAUGUAUAACUAAUUUACAAUCUUUUAUGUCAUACUAAGUCAUGAUAUAAUAUUUCUUCAUAUUUUACAUUAAUAACCAUUGUUUUUAUAUAUCGUCUACAAUUCUCUAAUUACGUCUAUUUGUUCAAUUUUGUAUAUGAUAUCGAAUAUUCAUCAUAAAUAGAUGGUUUAAAAUGCUAAAAAAUUAUUUACUUGGUGAAUAUAAUACAUCAAAUAUUACAAAUACAUCAUUUAGUUAAAUAAAUAACCAUAAAUCGAAAAUUCAUACCCUCAGUGUCUAGUUUUACUUUAAAUUCAGAGAUUUCUUUUUCUUCUUAAAUGCUUUGGAAUUAAACGUUAAACACAGAAGUUGCAGCUGUUAAUUAAAUUUUAUAAAUAAAGAUACUUUACCGAUAGAUAUUUGGUCACAAAUAAAUUACUUUAAUGAUUAAUUUGUUUGCUGCCAAACGAAGAAAUGUGUUUUUGUAUUAUGACUUCAAACCCCAUUUACCUAUUACUGUAUAUUUAGGGCUCUUAUAUUUAUCAGAAAAAUUAGCGCUGAGUUUGAUUCAUCAUGGCUUCCGACUUUUUUUUGACUAAUGUCUUCGUUGCUUAGGAGUUUGCUUAAAGAUAAAUUUGUUAUGUACACCCACCACCUAACAUAUCGAGUUAAUAAUAUCAUUCAAUUUUUUAUUUUUUUAUUAUUUUUAACAUCAAAAGCUAUUUCAUUAUUCAAAUAAGAUGGACACUGGAAAUCUUAAACCGAAGGAACGUCUUUCUCUCUCAUCUAUGUUUCUUCUCUAAGAUCUUUUAUAGAGAAGAGAGAAAGCGUUCGGUUUUUUUGUUCGCCGGGUUUUGUUCCGGCUUUGUCUCCCGUUUGUCGGGCUCUGGUCUCCGGGAAGCGAUGGCUUCAUCAGCGUCAGCUUCGCCGGCUUUUGACUCCGGGUUACGGUGGCUUCCGCAGCACUGUUCACGCCGGCUUUACUCUGGGUUUAUCCCAGAUCCUCGAUCCUCGCUCUUUCUUCCUUGUUUCAAUCGCCUCUUGAUCUGAUUCUUCAACUCUUUUCCUCCCCUUGACUAGGGUUGUUACAUCUUCAAGCUUACUCUUAUCUUUAAAGAUGUAAGAUGCUUCAUGCAGAUUAAUCAGAGUUUAUUAGAUUGAUUGAAGGCGGUUGUUUUAUCCUUCCUGUAGCGUGGAUCUGACAGUCUAGUUCCAUCGGCUUGAAUCUCUGAAGGCUGUUCUGUUUUGAGCGGUUGCUUCUUCGGUUCAUCUUCGCUGAAGGCGGAGCUCCGCCGUGUUUCUUCUCUGCCUCCGGGGGAAGUAGGAGGCUCCUCGUCUUGACCUGUGUUCAUUGAUCGUCGGACGAUCGUCCACGUGGAAGAUGACGUUCCUGGUUGCUUCCUCGACGGGUUUGAUCUUGUCGGCUGAAGGCCACAAGUUUCUGUAUAUUGGGCCAUCUGUUGGGCCUUUCACUUUAAUGUUUUCUUGGGCUUUGGUUGCCUCUUUUGUCUUAUUGUUUUGGGCUUCGCCAUGUUGGGUUUAGUUCUUUUAAUAAAUCAUCCAGUGACAAAAAAAAAGAUGUAUACUGGAAAAAUAAACUAAAUAGGACGACCAAUAUAAAAAAGUACCUUGUAGAAAGAUUCUACAAUUCUAACUAAAGAAGCAGUAAUUGUAUUCUGGUUUCAAAAAAUGUUUAAAUGAGUGAAACAUCUUUACAGCUUGUUAUUUUCUUCGUAACACUGUUUUAUCGAAAAUGAUAUGGAACAUAUUACUCGAAGAAUAUGACAAGUAAUGAGAAACUAAUGGUCUUUCCACACCGGAAAAUAGAAAAGAUAAACAUGAUUGAUGACACACUAACACAACCAAACUAGUCUUAUUUCGAAAGUAAAGUGAAUUAUGUGUCCCUGUUCCAGCAAUAGCAGACAAACUUCUAAUACCUUCAACGAAAUCACGACUAUAAUUCUCAUAGUUUAUAUAUGUCUUUUUCUUUACUUACCUUGAUUAAUUUUGUCCCGAGUUAGCUUCAGUUAAGCUACCGCUGAACAAGCUUGAACUACAAAUUACAAAUCAGGUAGAAAGUCGGGAUUGACGAUUCACGUCCCAAAACCAAAACCAACACGACAAAAAAACACUGACCACACAAAAGGGACAAUAUAACCAUAAUCAGAUCCAAAACGAAGCAGGAUCUCUUUCAGAAAGAAGAUUUCACCCCAGUAUCGAAAGAAAAUAGUAUCUCUCACCUCAAAAGCACCGCAAAAGGAUGUAGAAAUAAUAGAAAUAUAGGUAUCCAACAAUAGCAAUGGAGGUUAGAGAAGAGACACUGAAACCAAGUUCUCAGUAUCCCUACAACCAUCUGCUCCGUUGGGCCUCUCACCACCAAGCAGAUCAAGUUAUAUCUGUGACGAAGACCAAGACAAAAAAAUAAUUAAAAGGUAAAGGUGGGAGGCCGAUACCGGUGCUAGAAAACCACCGACCAGCUUCAGAUUUAGAUUUGUCAAAAGACGGCCGCUGGAAAAAGGUGAGAAAGACUAGGGUUUUUCUUAAAACUAUUUUUUUUCUUCGAUUCUGUUGAGAAAUUUGAUCGUGAAUCUGGUUUCGAAAUUAUGGUCAUAAAAACCUUACAAUCCAUUCCAAAGUUCUAGCAUGUAGAAUGUCUAAACAUAUCCUCCAUUAUCCAAAUAAGUGUUUUUAAGAGUGUAAAGAAAACUCCCAUUUGCUUUGGUUUCGUGUUUAAAUUAUUUGAAUAUUUUGAGAUGUGUCUUUUCAAACUCAUUCACUCCCACUGAAUUGUAAAAUAGAAAUCUAAGAGGCAUUCACCAAACAUAUAUUAUGUAAGCAUACAGCUUGUAAAUCAAUAAUAUUUAGUGAUUGUGCUACUACAUUUGCUGAGUUUAUGACUCAUUUAAGAAAAAAAAUAUCACAUUAAUCAUUCUUUUAUUAAAGAAGUAUUCUACUUAAACAUUUACAAAUACUAACCGAAACGAUUUACAGUUUAAUAGCGUAAUUUAUGUCAUGUAUCCGCAUACCCAACCCAGUAUAUACAUGGAGUCGAAUCUUGCAGUCUAAACACAGGGAAGCAGGCGCGCACAACCACUAGAUUACACACAACUUUUCGUAAUUUGGAUGUCCUUAAAUUAUUAUUCUAACUAGGAUAAGACCUGCGCAAGGCGCGCAGGAUGAAUUUAUUUAUAUAUAUUAUCGAUAAUUUUUUUUAUAUAUUUGAUAAUUUUAUUUAUAUAUAUAUACAAUAUUUUUUGUUGUUAUUAUAUAAUUUCUUUCCGAUGGAUCAGACCAAUUUUUAUUAAAAAUAAUGGAACAAAACUAUAAUUAAUACAUCAUGGGUUGAUCGGAUUGGACAUUAAACAAAUUAUGACAUAAAAACCUUAUUUUUUCCAUUGAACACAUUCUUGAAAAAAGUGAACAGUAUUGUUUUCACAGUUGAAUUAUUUUGACUUUUAUCUUCCAUAUGGUUUUGAAAGCUUUCAAAUCAACCAUGGAAUUGAUACAUGUCAUUGUAAUGUUUUUAGUCGUAUACUUAAGGAAAACUUACAUUUUUGUAAUUUAAAGUCGUUUUAAAAAAUUCAAAAUAUAACAUAUAAGAAAAAAUCUAACAUAUAAGGUAUCUUCAUUUUUGUAUUUUAAAGUCGUUUAAAAAAAAUAUAACAUAUAAGGUUUCCUCAUUUUUGUAAUUUAAAGUCAUUUUAAAAAAUUGAAAAUAUAGCAUAUAAGAAAAAAAUUAAUUUUUUUUUGUUAUAUGGUUAAUGUGAUUGUUUAUUUUUUUAAUAAUAUAAAAUUAAACAAAAAUGAAGAAGGAUGCAAAAAUUGUUAUCAAAUCUUUAUUAUUCAUAAUCAUUAAUUGUCAUAUAUAUGUAAAUCAUAUUAGUUAAUUAUGUAGCUUUUAUUAAGGAAAUAAUACACAUUUCUUAUAUUUUAGGUUAAUAUAAUGUUCUCUAGUGGACAUUAAACAAAUUAUGACAUAAAAACCUUAUUUUUUCCCUCGAACACAUUCUUGAAAAAAGUGAACAGUAUUGUUUCCACAGUUAAAUUAUUUUGACUUUUAUCUUCCAUAUGGUUUGAAAGCUUUCAAAUCAACCAUCGAAUUGAUACAUGUCAUUUUAAUGUUUUUAGUCGUUUACGUAAGGAAAACUUACAUUUUUGUAAUUUAAAGUCGUUUUAAAAAUUUUCAAAAUAUAACAUAUCAGAAAAUUAUAAUAUAUAACAAAAAUAUAACAUAUAAGGUGUCCUCAUUUUUGUAUUUUAAAGUCGUUUAAAAAAAAUAUAACAUAUAAGGUUUCCUCAUUUUUGUAAUUUAAAGUCAUUUUAAAAAAUUCAAAAUAUAACAUAUAAGAAAAAAUCUAAUUUUUUUUAUUAUAUGGUUAAUGUGAUUGUUUAAUUGUUUUUAAUAAUAUAAAUUUAAACAAAAAUGAAGAAGGAUGCAAAAAUUGUUAUCAAAUCUUUAUUAUUCACAAUCAUUAAUUGCCAUAUAUAUGUAAAUCAUAUUAGGUAAUUCCGUAGUUUUUAUUUAAGGAAAGAAUACACACUUCUUAUAUUUUAGGUUAAUAUAAUGUUCUCUAGUGUUAUAUAAUUAUGGAACAAUGUGACACCAUUAGAUUAAACUAUACUUUAUAUUAGAUGCUCUAGAAUUUUUUGAAAUGGAAUUUAGAAGGCAUUUAGAGUGUCACCUCGGCUUUGGAGUUUUUUUUGAUUAAUACAAAAUUAAGGUUCUAAUUUUUCAAAUGCUUCUCAGUUAAUAUAUAGGGGAUUUAGCGUCUAAAGCCCUACUUUUGCUAACUUUAGAUCGGGGCCAACACUGUCUAUCCAAGUCUUAUAAUAACCAUUGUGUACCAAACAGAUUUGCAUAAUCUCCAAGAUAAAAUACGUACCAAAUCAAUUGUGCAUAAUUUACAUGAAAUAACUUCUAAUAAAUCAUUUUCAAUAUAUUUUUGUAUCAUAAAAUUAUUUAUAAUCAUUAAAUAUACUAUUAGUUGAGAAUAUAUUUAAAUGAAAAGAAUUUCCGCGUUAAUGUUAUCUAAGAAACUCUCAUUCUUUAUCCCUUUGUGUUUCCCUUACUAUAGAAGUUAUAAAAACCUUUUUUCUUCUAAGAAUACUUUUAUAUGUGUUAAUUCAAUACAAUACUCUCCGCAACCUAUUUAGAUUCAGUAGAUUUUGUGGCUCACCUUUCACGAAGAAAGAUCUACAAAUAUGCUUGUUAAUCUUUCAUUUCCUUUAAAACAAAACCGCGAAACGUCGCGGAUUUUUGGUUUCAUUUAUUUUUAUAUAAACACUAGGUAGUAACCCGCGCUUUGCGCGGAAUAAGAUAUAUAUAUAUAUCAUUGUUGAAAUUACAUAUUAUGAUUAAGUAUAACAUAAGAUAUACAUUAAGCGAACGUUAGACACAACUAAAUGUAUGAUUAAUUUAAUUAUGAUAUUACCGACUCAGUGAUUAUACGUGAUUGUAUAUAUAUGUUCACUCGAGCCAAUUACUCGUUUUGAUGUUGAUCAACUUCCAAAAGAUAACGGUAGAUCAAUAACAUAUUAUAAGCAAAACAAUAACUGUAUGAAAUUAAUAAAGUUUAUCUCUCGAAAUAUAAAAAACGUAGUUACAGCAUAAAAGCAAUUGAAAGAAAUUUCAUCCUCUAAAAUACAUAAUUAGUUUUCAAUAAAAAACCAAAAUAACAAAAAAAUUUCAUAAGAUAAUAAAUUAAAAUCUUCAAUUCUCUUGUUAUCGAAUCAAAAUGCGCGGAAUAGAAUCCUGAAAGUAAAAAAAAAAUUAACAUCAAUACUAUUAAAAAAUACUAAUUAUGUUAACUAUUUAUUAAAAUAUUUUUAAAUCAUUAUAAACUCACAUUGAUUUGUAGUACAUUAUAUACGUGAUUGUAUAAACUCACAUUAUAAACUCACAAUUUCUCCAAAUUCCAGCCAUCUUUAUGAUCAAUACUCUACGGUGUUUUGUUUUGGGAUGGAGAUUAAGAGAGGCUUCGGGUUACUCAAUAUAUACUAUCCUCUUAACAUUAGGUUUAUACUUUCUCAGUUUUGUUAAUUAGGAAAGAACUCAGUAAAUGGUAGGCUAAAAUAUCCUAAAUCUAUAUUAUAAGGAAUGUACAUUGAGUUUUGAAUUUUUUUUUAUUACUUAUUGAAAACUUGGAAACCAAGCAUAUACAAACCGGACAUAAUAAACUACAAUAAAUUCAACGUCUAAGAUUUCAUGUUUAUGUGAUAAAUAAUUGGGCACGUCAUAUUAGCUCCAACUAAAAACACUACGUGAAUACAACAUCUAAAUGGUCCAGUUCGUCCCAUGUUCAAUACGUAAUCAUAUUCGGACAACAUAUAACUAAAUUGGUUCCUUAUUGUGAUCAUACAAAACGAAAGCUGGACACAUACAUGUGAUCAUACACAAAAACGUGAUUUUUUUGUACCAUCUGAACAUACAUGUCAUCGUACACAAAAACGUGGUCAAGGUUGGAAUAAAAGGAGGUUGCCUUAUGUUUCUUGUGGCUAGCUCUAUGGCCACCUAAAGCCUGAAAAGAAGAGAAGGUCCAGUCACAUGGUUUGCACUGAUAAACGUAGCUGUCAGCUUUACCACCACCGUUAGAUGAAGAAGUCUCUAGGAACCUCCUGCUGCUAAAUUUAUACGUGUUAUUGUUGUUUGUUUCGUGGUUAGGUAUCUUGAGAUGUGGAAGAGAGUGGCCUUGGGAAAGGACGAUCAAACAACUGGGUAUAUCUAGUUAGGUAUACUUCUUUAAGAAAAAUGAAACAGAGUACUUGAGAGAUAAAGUUUCAUUUAUUUUACGUACUCAUCAUCUCAUGCCAUUAGUAACAGCAUAGAACCACCAUGGUUGUGUUCGUCACUUGCUAUCGGGUUCCAAAACGUUUAACUGGAGUAAGGUGAUAAGAUUUAGAGUUCUGAGAAGAACUACCAAGUAACAGCAUAGAACCGUGGUAGACACGUUUGUUCAGUAAAACAAUAACCACAGAUAAUAGAGAUGAAACUAUAUAUUACCUCGGGGGGAUCAAACACAUUAGAAACUCUGGGCAUAAUGUUUUCGAACUUCCCUAAUCAUAUGAAGUUAAAAUGUCUUUUAAGUAUCUAACAAACUACAAAGAUAAAGACUCGUGUAGGUAUGGAAAAAGUAUUUACCGUAGGAUAAGAAGUUACGCCAAGGUAAUAUAUAGUUUCAUCUCUACUGUCGUGGUCGUUAAUAUGCAAAAUAUAUAAGAAUAUAUAUCACAAUUAAUAGUUUCUCCUCUGUUUUCAACCGAUCAAGUUGCUUAAACAGAAUCCAUGUUGCUUCAAGCUUGAUUGCUUGAUGCUUGCGGUUGUUACGUUGGAACUUUAUUAAGAAUUAGGGACUUGUUUCUGUAAUCGGUAUAGCCUUGUUUCUGUAAAUACUCAUGUCAACAUCCUUUCCUAUGCCACAAUCAUUGUCACUUGAUCCAGACUAAGAAAAACUUUCAGAGUCCAGUUCAGUCAUCAUCUUCAUUGCGUUAGCUUUGCUUUCUUUUUCCUCCGUUUCUUCAAUCAAUAGUUUCUCUUCUGUUUUCAACCGAGCAAGUUUCUUAAACAGAAUCCACGUUGCUUCAAGCUUGAUUGCUUGAUGCUUGCGGUUGUUACGUCGGAACUUUAUUAGGAAUUAGGGACGUGCUUCUGUACUCGGUAUAGCCUUGUUUCUGUAAAUACUCAUGUCAGCUUUAUUAUAAAUUAGAGGACGUCUCCUUUUUUGGAUUGGAACUCGAGAAAAUCUCUCCCACGAGACCUGUUUGCACAUCCAUGCAUUUCAGGUUGAGGAUGGUUGUGCCUUUCUUCUGAGCGGUUUCGAUGUUUCUCGACGUGCCGGUGCUUAGUGACAUUGAUAACUCGGCUUCUUUCUCCAUGUCGAUGAGUGGUGCCAUUGUUGACACGAAGGAUUCGAGUGACAUUGAAGAUCCUCGAUUCUUCGCCAUUUGAGAGAUACUCUAUACAUGAACAACACAAACCUUGAUCUUAAAAUACAAAACGGAUGAACAAAUUCAAGUAAAAUCAGAUGAAUCCAAAUGAAUGAUUCUGUCCUAAUUCCAUAUAGCCAAAGAGAAAAUUGAGGCCGAAAUGGUCUUACCUACCAGCUUCGACGAUGUUUUUUGCUCUGCGUUUCACGAAUUGGGGAAUGAAAGAUGAAGAAAAAAACCCUAGAAAGAAGACGAAAAGGAGGGAGAUGAUGAUCUAUCCGACUAUGGUAGUUUUGAAAAUCACAGCUCUCUCAAGUUGCUUAAACAGAAUCCAUGUUGUUUCAAGCUUGAUUGCUUGAUGCUUGCGGUUGUUAGGUUGAAAAGGUGAUAACGUCAAAAAAAAAUGUUGUUACGUAGAAAAGAAAGUGUCAAGAUUUUUAAAGAAUGUAAUGAUUGCAUUAAAUUCAUAUUUUUGUGACAAACAUUCUCUGCGUGACACGUAUGCAAAUUCUUAAAUAAAAGUCUCUCAUGAAGUCACGUCAGAUUUUCACAUUACACCGUUAAGGAAACUCUUAAAAGUGAUUUUCCUUUAAUAUAUAGGGGAAUUUUUUUUUUUAUAAUUUUAAAAGUUAACAUCGACAAAUUUUUAAAUAAUUAACAUAUGGAGGUAUAGUAUUACAACAUUAAAUUAUAUAUAUUUAAUUUAUACUAUCUAUAAAUCCAAUGGAUCAUCUAUUGUUUAAAUCCAAUUAUUGAUAGCCCAAUAAAAAUUUCUGGUAGACCCAAAAUUUAAAUGAUAAGAUUAGAGAUUAAAUGUAACAUGACUUUUUAAGAAUAUGUACAUUAGGUCCAUUUUUUUAAAAAAAAAACCACACAUGAAUCUUGUGACUUCUGUUUUAAUAUAUAAGAAUUCCAAUUUCUUUAAUCACAAAUUUUCUCACCAAGCAAAUUUUAUGUUGCUCAAUGAAAAACCUACAUUUGGUUAAAACAUAUAUUCCCUUCCCUUUUUAAAAACUCAAAUAGUCCAUACACAAACUCCAAUAUAACUCUAGCUUCAUGUAACACCUUAUGGAUUACCUCAUAUAUUACUUCAUGAACUGAUACAUAACAUCUCAGAAAACUGCAUGUUCAAUAUAUAUUUGAGAAAUCAUCAAAAUAUAUUUACAACAAAAUGAAGACCUUUAUAUAAUUAUCUUUAACAGAGUGUAGUGUCAAGUAUAACAUUCCAAAUGCAAAAAAUAUUAACACAACCAUGAAAAUACAACAUUGUAUAAAACUAUAAAGUACCGGGCAUCACUCCUGGGAGAAUCACAAAAGGGGAAACCUUCAAAAGUCUAAGCAAAUGCAGUGGAGAUAGAAAGCAUGGUAGGACGAGAAUUUGGAUCAGAAUGUAAACACAAAAGUGCAACCUUCAUGAUCUCUAAGAUCUCAUGUUUGAUCUCUGGCGUUGGUUCUGGUAGUCGGCGGUCGGAAAUUCCUUUCAGUGACAUAGUUCUGUCUAGAGGAGUCGAUGAAAUAGUUGAAACUAGAUCUCCCGGAUGCUCUCCUUUGAUCACUUCAAGCGUUAGAACUCCAAAACUAAACACAUCGCAUUUCUCCGUCACUUUCAUUGCGUAAGCUAGUUCUGCACAUUCAGUUUCAUAAGACAUUAAACACAAAAAUACUUUUAAAUUAUUUAAUAUAAAAAGAAAUAAAUCCAAAUUCAAGUUUAUAUGACUUAUAUUAGCCUACUCGAAUUAAACCGAAACCAAGAUUGAAUCACAGUUUAUUUCUACCCAAUUUUUUUCUGAAAACUGAAACAGAUUCAGUUUUGUCACCAAAUAAACAGAAGUAAUUUUAGAACUGGAGAAAUUUAAUGACAUUUUGUGACAGUGUGUCAAUUAUAGUGGUUUCUUUAUAAACGUAAAUCCAAACCAAUGUCAUAGUUCAAUUUUGGUUUUAUCCUAAACCGACUCACUCCUACAAAUCAGUUAGUCAUUUAAUCAUAAACCGACCCGGUUAAUUCCUAAACCAAAGAUCCACUUUAAUGUUAAAAGGGUUUUAAAAAAGAAAGUACCUGGAGCAACGUAACCGUAAGUUCCGGCAACGGCAGACCAAUUCGAUGAAUCCACUUUGAGAAGCUUGGCAGUACCAAAGUCGGAGAUCUUCGCUUCGUAAUCAUCGUCGAUAAGAAUGUUACCACUGCUAAUAUCACGGUGCACAAUCGGCGGAGACCGAUCAUGAUGCAUAUAAGACAAAGCAUGCGCCACGCCUUUCACCACAUUGAUCCUUCUCCUCCAAUCCAGCUGCUUCGCUUCCUCGUCGUUCCCCAAUACUUUCCUCAGACUCCCUCUCUCCAUGUACUCGUACACCAGGAAAGUGUUGCGCCGAUUCGAGCAGAAUCCGAACAGCUUCACCACGUUCCUGUGACGGAUCUCCGUGAGCGCUCUGAUCUCGUUGAGGAACUCGUUUCUCACCGUAGGUUUCGAGAUCUCUUCGUCUGUUGUCUCGUUGAGCUUUUUCACCGCCAUUGUUAUCGCCGGGAGCUUCACUUUGUACACUUUCCCGUAUCCUCCGAUUCCGAUUAGGUGCUUCGGAUCGAACUCUCCUGUCGCUUUGAUGAUCUCUUGGUAUUUUACUUUCCCGUCGAAGCUAAAGAUCGAUAGCGUUUCUCCUGAUUCCGUAUCUGCUUCCUCUUCGAUUUGGGGCUUUCUCUUGCGGAAGCAAACGAAUAUUCCCGCGCAGACGGAGAGGAUUAUGAUCGCUCCGAUGAUCGGGACUAGUAUGUAGAUGAGCAGGUUGUUGUCUUUGUUUGAUUUCUUCUUCCCUGAGGGAGUGAUCUCACAUGGCUUCAAGCCUUGAGUUGUGUUACUGCCGCAUAAGUCUCUGUUGCCUUCUAACGCAUCUGGACGCGCGUUUUUAAACGCUGCGUUAUCCGGGAUCGGACCUUCGAGGUUGUUGUGCGAUACGUCCACGUGUGUUAGUGACUUCAUUUCGCUGAAGCUUGAUGGAAUUGGACCUGAGAGGUUGUUGUGUUGGAGGUAGAGUUUCUCUAAGUUCUGUAAAGAGGUGAACUGUGAUGGGAUUUCUCCGUCGAGGUUGUUGUGGCUGAGAUCAAGAGUUUGUAGCUGUGAGAGUUUUGUUAACCCCAUGGGGAUGUUUUGAUCCAGAUCGUUUCUGCUCAAGUUCAUGUAGUAAAGCCUUGGUAAGGAGUCGAGCGUCGCCGGGAUUUGGAAGCUGAAUCUGUUUGAGGAGAGGUCAAGAUACUCAAGAUUGGCUAAGCUUCUGAUUCCCGAAGGGAUUCUUCCCGAGAGCUGGUUCCCGUUAAGCUGGAGUUUGGAGACGCGAGUAAGUUUGCUGAUUGUUUCUGGCAGCUCGCCGGAGAUGUUGUUGGAAGAUAGAUCGAGCUGGUUUAGCUGUGUCAUGUUCCAUAUCUCAGGUGGGAUCGGUCCGGUGAUGUUGUUGUCUGUUGCGAUGAAAGCAACUAGCUUUCGACUUUUUUCCCACUUGGGUGAAAUCUGUCCGCGGAACUUGUUGUUGCUGAGAUCAAUGAAGUUGAGAUUCGGAUACUCUCCGAAAGACUCAGAGAUGUCUCCGGAGAAGCUGUUACCUUUGAACCUUGCUCUGAUCAAGCUUUUGCAGUUUGUCAAGCUUAUAGGAAUGGGACCUGAGAGGAGAUUAUCAUCUAGCGUGAGAUUCUCGAGCUUGCCACUUCUGCAGAUUGUUUCAGGCAAUACACCGGUGAAGUUGUUGGUGUCGAGUUGCAGGACGGUAAGCACCGAGGAGUUAGCGAUUCCCGGUGGGAUCGGACCUGAGAGAUGGUUAUCACGAAGAAACAGCCAUUCCAAUUUUGUUAACUUACCAAAUGAACCAGGAACAGGACCAGUGAGUUUGUUCUCACUUAUCUCCAAAUCAAUCAUCGUUUCCAUGUCUCCUAGCUCCUCAGGGAUCGAACCAGUAAGCUUAUUCAGGUAAAGAUGAAGAAUGGCCAGGUUUUUGAGGUUUCCUAAGGAAGAAGGAAUCGAACCGGUAAGGUUGUUUGUGUGGAGGCUAAGUGUAUCUAAAGCGGACAUAUCACCAAUCUCAGGAGGGAUUUCACCAGUGAGGUUGUUUUCAAACAUGUUGAGAAGUGUUACAUUCUUCAACUUUCCGAAAGAGGAAGGAAUUUGACCGGUUAGCUUGUUUCUAUCUAAGCAUAGCUCAGCGAGGCUAGAUAGGUUUCCGAGUUCAGGUGGAAUAGGACCAGAGAGGGAAUUGAUAAAGAGGUAAAGGUUAGCUAAGUUGGUUAGGUUUCCAAAGGAAGAAGGUAUUGGUCCGGUCAACAGAUUGUCGUACAAGGCAAUCUCGUGAAGUUUAGUUAACCGACCGAUCUCAGAAGGAAUCGAACCGUUUAACUUGUUCUCGACAAGAUGGAGAGUUUCUAAGUUACUUAAUUUGCCUAGCUCAGAUGGGAUUUCACCGACCAACUGAUUAAUGGACAAAUCGAAGUAGAUGAGUUUAGAGAAGUCUCCGAACUGAGGUGGGAUGGUUCCGGAGAAACGGUUCAUACUGAGAUCAACAUAACUGAGGUUCGGGAGAGCAGAGAAUGGGAAAUCUUGGAAAGUACCUUCGAUGUCGGUGUUUGUAAGAUUCAACCGUAUGAUGCUGUUUCGUACGCAAGAAACACCGUACCAACUCCUACAAAAGCUUGUGUUUGGAUUGACCCAAGAUGACAGCUUUGAAGAACUUGUCUGGUUUGUGAAAGUUGACUUCCAUUUUAGAAGAGCAUUUGCUUCUGACACUGUUGCAGAAGCAGUAAGAGAACAGCUCAAGAUUGUGAAAAUGAUCAAAAGGAAGUGAAGAUCAUCACCACGAGGCUUGUCUUUACAAGCCAUUUAUCUUAUUUCUUCUCUCUUCUCUCUCUUUUGAUUUUGAAGUGAUAUUUAGUGAAAAUUGAGUUUUUUUUUUCUGGUUUGUAUUCAUAUCACAACGCAGGCAUUAUCUAAAAUGUUUUGUCUUUUAUAAAUCUGCAAACUCAUUUCGUUGACUGCUAGAGGCGAAUCAGUCGUCACUUUGAAUUUUCUGUUAAAAAACAAUUCAUUCCAAAUUUUAAAUAUUGGCCGCUUACUUUGUCAAAUUUCGAAAUAACAAUUCUCAAGUUCGCAUAUAAAUUUAAGUAAAUUUUAUAAGAAGCACUUGCUUGUUCUUCUUGCAUUGAAAAGCACUUGCUAACUUCUUGUGUUCAUAUUCGAUUCCUUCGAUUAAGUCAUUGUUUUCAAUAUAUGUAAGAAAUUAAAUAAAUGAUUAUAGUCAAACUGUUGAAAGUUUGAUUUUAUAAACUAAAAAAGGGAAUAGGAUUGAUGGAUUACAACGGAUCAACAACGAUGUUCAAUGUUCACUAGAUAAAUAGUAAUUUUAAUUAAUUUCAUUUCAAUGGUAAGAAUAAUUAUUUUCUCAGCCAUCUUGUUCAAAAUAAUCCUUAUUAUUGGUGACUAGGAAUACUUUAUACUACUUAAACUACUAAUACAUUAUUUACGUUAACUAGAAAAUUGCAUAAUUGCAUAGUUAUUACUAUAUAUACAGUAUGUACCCUGGAUCAGGAAUGUAAAAUUUAGGGGUAAGCAAAAUAUUCGUAAAUUUUGAUUCGAUUUGUUAUCUGUUUCAAUUCGAACAACAAAAUCUAGAUAUUCGUAACUCUAUGAAACAAAAUAAUAAUAGUAUACAAUAUCUUUAAGAAACGAAAUAAAUCACAAAUAGUAAUAUUUUUAAAAAUGGAUAUUUGAUCCGUUAUAUGCAUAUAUAUAUAUAUAUAUAUAUAUAUUUAGAGAAUUAUAUAUAUAAUUUAUAUUAAUAUUAUAUUUUAUAUAAGUUUUAGAGUAUUUUUAUUUACUAAAUUUAUCAUAUUAUUUAUUAGACUUAAAAAGUAAAUAUAUUUUUAGUUUUGUAAUACAUAUUUUUAUUUUAUAUUACUUUUUAAUUUAAUUUUUAAUUUUUAAUUUAUUUUUACAGAUCUAAUUAAAUUUUUAUAAAUUUUUGGAUAUCUGAGACAUCGAAUAUCCUAGUAGCUACGGAUCAAAUCGGAUCUGAUUACUCAGACGAAACGGACCAGAUCACGAAUACUUAAAAAAAACUCGGAUAUCCGAUUCAUGACCACCCUUAAGUUUAACGGGACAUCGAAUAUCCGAGUAGCUACUGAUCAAAUCGGAACUGAUUACUCAGACGAAACGGAUCAGAUCACAAAUACCUCAAAAAUCUCAGAUAUCCUAUUCGUGACCACCCUUAAGUUUUAUGGUAUUUUUAUUUACUAAAUUUAUUAUAAAAUGUAAAAUACGGGCGCACCUACCCACUAAAACCCAAGCAUCUCAUAUUUGCCAUGAAGUUCUAGUCAAAAUAAAGAGAUAUAUACGCCAAAGAUGGUUGACUUUUAAAGUCAGGCGCAAAUAAUGGUGUUUACAACUAACUCCAUCAAUGCUAUGAGCUAUCACAUGGACCUCUUUAUUUGAAUGUUGAUUUUUUUUUCCUUGUUCAAGUAUUUAACUAGUUAUUUAAACUAACGUAUCUGCCCAUAUUAAGCUGUUGGAAACAAAUAUGUUUUCUCUCUCUUCUCCGUUCUCUAUCUAAAUCUUUCACGGAGGAGAUGAUGAGAAAACUCAAUCUCUCUUUUAUUGUCUGAUCAUCUUGAUCAGAUCCUUUGAGAGAAAAAGCGAGGGAGUUCAUCCCUUUAUCUCACUGGUUUCUACUUUCGGUGAAGGUUUCCCGAGGUUCGGGCUUUUGGUUCCAGCAUAUAGUGGUUCCUACAACACGAUAUGGCUGGCUUAUUGACUCCGGCGAUUCACUUUUCACUCUAGUGAUGUCGGCUGGAACCAGGGUAGCGAUUUUGAAUGGUUUACGGUUAAGAUCUGAAGCGGUAGAAGUUUCUGCCUUGUGUUCGGUGGUUAGGCUCCUGGAAGAGAUCUCGAUUUAGAUCGAUUGAAGCUCUCUGAAGAACGAACACAAAGGUAUGUGUUACAGACGAUGAAUUUCCCUUACCUUCCAACAUAGUCGUUGGAGGUUCCUUUCGUCGUGGUGGUCCCGGGUGAUUCCGGUGGUUUCGAGAAGUUUAGUCCGAUGGAGACGUCGGGCGGUGAAGAAAAUGGGAAGUUAGCUGUGUUUCCCGGCGAGGUUCCGGCGAAACGAUUCGUGUCUCUCCGGAGGAGGAGAAUACGAAGGGAGUUAAUGACACGUGUUGCCUCGUUGUUGAGGUUCUAACACCUGUCUUUCGACGUGUUAGGUUUUCGGUGAAGCCCGGAUGGGCCUUCGUUUUGGGCUUUUCCUUAUGUUUUUUCUUUGUUUUAGUUUUUUCGGUUGGGCCUUGGUCUUGUUCUGUAUGGACUUUGCUUUCUGGACUUUGUCCAUAAAUAAUAAUACUCAGAUGGAAAAAAAAAAAAACUAACUUGUUACAAAAGCUGGAGGUCUUUUUCACUAUUAUGUGUGGGGAUGUGUGAAACCAAGUCUCUUCGUGUAGAAAAAAGGGCGUUAGAUUAAAGGUUCUUGUAGAAAAGAAGGGCCGUUGGAAGAAUUUAUACAAAGACAAUUAGAAAAGUCAGUCGACACGACAACAAGGGUAUAAGACUGCCUAGACCGAGAGAUUAAGCUUCAUCGUUUAACACGAAUGGCUGGUAUUCUGUUCAAUCUUUAAAACCAUAAACCAAUCAUCCUUGAGUUCUAAUCACUUAAUUAAUCAAAGCGCCUCUAAAACCACAAUUAGUUCGGAAUCCAUGAGUGGAGUCAUGCUUGUGGGAAAAGAAAAAAAGAGAAAAAAAAUCAUGCUUGUGGGUCACAGAACCAAAUAAAGAAUUCCAAUUCCAAAAUCUUUGAAACAACCUCUUCAACGAUUGAUUUUUUUUCUUGGGGGCAGACCAUUCAUUAAGCAAAAUCAGAGUUUAGCCAACAAGAGGCAUAAUAUCGAGAGCAGAGCGGCUUUAGCUAUACUAUCCGCCUCUGAAUUACAUAACCUUGACAUAAAAGAAAAGGAGAUAGAUACAAAGCUUUCACGUAGAACUUGGAUGUCACGAAGAACACCUUCAACUUCCACACAACAGCUUCGGGAACUAACAAGCUCCAUAAGGACUCUCGAAUUAGAGAACAAGCUCAACGACUUGAGUCCACGAGAUACUGCAGAUAUCGACGAUUUAAUACAAACAAACAAAUCAACAUUCACCACACCUCUGGUUAGGCAAAGUAUAAAGCAUGUAGUCACAACAUAUAAUAAUUACAUUAAUGCCUAACAUAACUGUUUAUGUUAACAAUUGAUUAUGUAUUCAACUAUAAGCUACACUAAAUCUAACAAAAAUGUUAUAAUACUAGCUUAAUUGUUAUAUUGCACAGUUCACAUGUUCGUCUAAACAACCUUUUUUAAUAUGCUAGAUAUUUUUUUUCAUUUUUUACGCAUACAUUUUACAAACAGGUUAUUCAUUAACUUAUUCGUUAUACUAGCUUAGGUUGAUACCCACGCAUUACGUGGGAUAAGAAGGGUGUAACAAUUAUAUAUCCAAAAUAAGGCUGUUCAGUACGAAUUUGGGUCUGAUUCCGGUUCUGGUUCAGUUUUUUGGUAUUUUGGUUUACUAAAGAUGCCAUAUUAUAAUUAUAUCUACUUUGGUUCGGUUUAUAUACUGUGGAUUUUUGGUUUAUUUUAUUUUAUACCAAAAGAUUUAAACUAUAUUUAUCUUUGUAACAUUUUUUCAAUUUAAUUUUGUAUGAUUAAAAUUUGAAUUUAUUAAACAGUACUCUAAUUUUUAAGUAGGACUAGAUCUCGACCCGCACAACCGUGAAUCAAUAAAUAUUUAAAUAUUUAACAUAUAGUAUUACAACAUUAAAUUAUAUAUAUUUAAUUUAUAUUAUCUAUAAAUUCAGUAGAUCAUCUAUUGUUUAAAUCCAAUUAUUGAUAGCCCAAUAAAAAUUUCUGGUAGGCCCAAAAUUUAAAUGAUAAGAUUAGAGAUUAAAAGUAACAUGACUUUAUAGGAAUAGAUCCAUUAGGUCCAUUUUAAAAAAAAAAUCACACAUGUAUCAAGGUUAUGACUUCUAUUUUAAUAUAUAAGAUGUUUUAUCUAUUUGAUUUAACUAUCAAAAUAACUAUUAGAUAAAUCAUAAUAUUAAUAAACAAAACUACCGAAAAUAACAAUUCCAAAAGAUUAAAAAGGACAAAUAACAUACUCUGUUUUGAUCUAAUAAAAAACAUCGGCCUUCAAAACAAAUACAACUUACUUAUCUAGAACAUAGUUUAUAUAAGAUUGAUAGUUAGGUUAAAGUGAUACAUUCAUUAGCAUUAACUACUAUGAAAUUCAAUUAUUAACAUUUUCCUUAAGUACAAAAAAGAAUUAGGCAAUUCCUUGCUUGGUGCCAAAGUAUUUUUUAGUAUUAAGUAUAAAUUACCAUAUUUACCUACUGAAGUAUUGUGUAGCAAGCACAAGUAUUCUAUAUAUAUAAUCAUUUGUUUUAUGUUUGUAUAUUUAUUUAUUUCUUUUAAUAGAAAAAUACAUAAAUUAUAUAUACUUACAUAUUCUGUAUGUGUGUAUCACGGUAAUACAUAUUUUGUUUUUCAUUCUAACAUUAAAAGACCAACUUUGGCGGGACUUUGGAAAUCAAAAACAUCUCCUAAACUAAGACACUUUCUCUGGCGUUUCAUGUCAGGAGCUCUGGCAGUGAAACAACAAUUAUGCUCACGAGGUAUUCCGAUAGAUCCUUGCUGUCCUCUGUGUCGCCAAGGCCCAGAAUCUAUCUGCCAUAUGCUCUUCCACUGUCCAUCAGCGAAAGAAGUAUGGGAACGAUCGUCGAUUCCAUUACCAGAGCUGGUUUCUCUCCCACAUCAGUGUUCUUAAACGUUCACUAUCUUCUCGCUUGUAGUAAAAAGAGUUCAGUAGAUCCAAAGCUGCAUCUUGCUUUCCCAUGGAUCCUUUGGCAUAUCUGGAAGAACCGCAACCUGUUCUGUUUUGAGCAACGGAGCAAUAAUGCGGAAGCUAUUCUUAGCAAGGCAUUGGAGGAGGCCUCGGUCUGGCUCCAACUAAAUGCAUAUGUUCCGGUAGACCCUCCUGCAAUGGAGUUGGAGGUCGUAGACUCACAUUCAUGGAAAAAACCACCGUCCACUGAUGUCAAAUGCAAUGUGGGUUCUGCUUGGUCAGCAAGUAACAGCACAAGUGGGGCAGCAUCGAUAUUAAGGGAUUCAGGUGGGGAAGCGGUCUUACAUAGCAGACGUUCCUUUGUGGGUGUUCGUUCUCAACUGGAAGCAGACUUGAUCGCUCAUGUAUGGACUUCAGAGGCACUUAGUGACUUGAAGAUAAACAGAGUGAUUCUUGAGACAUCCUCCUCUCAGCUCCCACAGUCUUUGCGCGGGACCUUGGAAUUUACACACCUUAUGGAAGAGGCUUAGGAAAGCGUUGGACCAUCUGAAGUGUCACCACAUACUAGUACUAAAGGAAUGUAAUAGAGUGGCCUCGACUAUUGCAACAAAUGCCCUACAAAGUCAGUGGCAUUAAUCUUACCUAUCAGCGAAUGGGCCAAGAUGGUUGGAUGCUAGUAUCAGAAGGGAAGCAUCUCACGCUAUCUAGGAGCCCAGCUAUCAUGUACCUUGACGAUCCAUGAAGACCUUUGAGCAGGAAGAAUUCUAUACGUAUUCGUUUUUCUUUGUUUGAUUGUUAUGUGUCUACUGGCACUUUUAUUUCUGUGUUCUCAGAUGUUGACAAUUUCUUUCUCGACAACCGGUUUGGUUGUUUAUCCAUUAUGGACACACAUUGACAAAAAAAAAGUAUGGUUCUGUUCAAUUGAAAUAAAAAUGAUUCUUAACCAACAUCAAUAAUAGACAAACCAUAUAUUAAUUAUAUUUUCCACUGAUAUGGUUUUCAAAUAUUUUUCGAAUGAAAACAUGCAUAGUGUAUUGUCGUUCUAUGAUUUGUCUAAUUCUCUUGUGAUUUGUUCUUCAUUUCUUUACGGCGUAGGUUUAGAUUUUGGAAGAAACGUUUGACAGCUAAAGAACCUUACUCAUAAUAUAAAGACAAUUUUCUAUUUAUUAUGCUGAGGAAACUUUGAAUAGCAAUCGAUAGGGCCAAUAUCAUUUCUUAGUUUUUAAUGUAUGUGGUCAGUUUUGAUCAAAACAUUACCUAUGGAAAUCUAUAUUACAUAUUUGAUUUAUCAUUACUUUACACUCAUGAGGUUUGGUGGUGUUUUUUUGUAUGAGAGAAUGUUGAAUUGGGUAGUAAAUGAUUUGGUCCAUAUGUAUUAGGCUAGAGCUAAUAUUACACUAAGAUAAUGAAGUCAAGAGACGGGUUCUUAUAUUCCGUUAAGAACUCCACCCCAAGAACCUUCCAUUAAACAUGCUCUAAGUUUGGUUAAAUUCUUUGUAAUAAUGUCACAUCAGCAAUUAAAAAAAUUAAAGAAUUAACACAUAAGCAAAAUUAUUUUUAAAUUAGUACCAAAUUAAGAUUACAACUUUUCUAAAAUCCUCAAUUAAUAUAGAGGGGACAUGUUCUGUUUAUAUUUUUUUUUAGUACAACCAUUUUAAUAUGAUAGGUUCCUUUAUUCUUCUUUCAGACAUCUCUAUGAGGAAGAUAUUAUACGGCUCAGAUUGUGCGUUAUAUCUAAUGGUUAAUCAGUCUUUCACGAGCAUAUAAAGCAUGUUGACAAUGAUUGCCAAUUGAUAUGAGAUGUGAACGGCUCCAUUAUUACCAACCAGGUUUUUAAAAUAUUCAACUGGCUGAAGUUUUCGCGGAGACUCUAAAAGGUAAACAUUUUCAGAAAUUUUUUUCCAAGUUGAGAGUUUUUGAUCUUAACUCUCCAAUUUGAGAGGGUGAUCUAUCCGUGGGCUGCAUCUUCCCAUGGGGAUUAGUCUGGGCCCCAUCAUAGGUCUGGGAUUAUUUAUUUAUGUAUUUAUAUUAUAUGUGUAUCUAGAUCUUAUGUAUUAGGGAUACCUAUAUAUACUCUGGUUGAUUGACCUUAGUGAACACAAGGAAACCUUCGUACUCUUAUAGGAUUCUUCACAGACUUCACUCCUGGAGUUCCCAACAUUUAUGAUCGUCCAUACUAUCUGGAGAACCCAAGGAUUUUUGUUUUCAUUUUCUUAGGCAGACUUGCAGUUUUUAUCACAUCCAGAAGAUGGCCAAAAUUUACAUCAAAGGGAAGCCAUUCUAAGGACACAUGACAAAUAGUUUAGUGCGUGAACCUGUAGUGGAAUGACAUCCGAAUAGCACAUGAAAAUAGUUUAGCUGUUGCUUAAGGCAUUCAAUUAGGAGGAGCGGUGAACUUCACAACAGCAAUAUGGACCGACUUUGGCAAAACAAAACAAAAAGAACGCUAAAGCGAUAUUUGUUUUCGGGGAAAGGUAUUAAAAAUUUUGGUAGAAAUCAUGGUUUCAGCCUUUCCUUGGUUUGGGGAAGAUUAUUUUGGAGCUGAGACAUAGACAACUCAAGGGGUUGUUGGUCUGUAAACAAAACAAAGCCAAAGUCAACUAACUUUAUGAGUGUGGUUUCGGUGAGGCCAACUUUGCAGAACCAAAUAGAGUUGGGAGCCUGAAAUAGUUUGGGACAUUCGUUGGUAAGAAACACAGUUGAGAUCAUCACUAGCUAGAUAGAGUAAACAACAUAUUUAUUGAAGAGUAGAACAUAUUUAAGAUUAAUCACGUUAGCCUAAAACUUGGUAAGAACCAUCGAGCUCUAGGGAAUUGAACUGAAGAACAAUCAAAUUUGUGCAACAGCUCUGUUUUCUGUGUCUCGAGGUUAAAAAGAAAUAUGUCAUGUACGUCCUUUCCAUGACUAACACUGAAGUAGACGGAGUUUUUAAUGAAUCCAUCAGUGUCAUUGGCGAGAACUGUGAUGCCUUGAUCCAAAAGCAUUGACUCGUCACCCAAAGAAUAAAUCAGAUUAUGUUUCUUCAGGAAUCCUGAUGAAUAGACCUUGAAAACACGGAAGGGCCAGGUUUCAGACCUCGAUCUCCACAGUUUUUCAACCUUGAGGACUUCUCCUGUUACUGUGACUACAAGUUUGGUAGCAACAAUGCUCAAGGAAUUACUUCGUUGACGAAGUUGGAUACCUAACCGAAAUCUUUCCACAAUAACCCCACACUGAAAGGUUUGUUGUGGAAAUUCUCCAGAAAAAUCGAAGAUUCUGAACUGACCAAACAAGCUUAAGAAGUAAAGCUUGGAGUCCCUGUAAACCAUGUCACAGCAGCUUGAGGUUUCAGGAAUUUGAUUCCACGAGGCAUCUCCUUUUCUCGAAUAAACUACGCACAAUCCACGCAGCUCCCACGACACAACAUAUUCUCUGGUUUUCUCAUCAAUCCAAAGCACUGGCGAUCGUAGACGAAUACCUUUGUACUCUUUUCCGUUGUGGCUCGUAAUGCGAAACACGUCAUCAUCUAAGGUUCGCUCCAUCUUUGUCACUCCAUGCUGUGCCUCCACAGGAGGUAGAUCGAUCCUCUCAUGUGUAAAGAGAUUCACAAUGUAGAGAUUAUGCAUACGGUUGCACAUCAAGAGCCAGCUUCCGUAGGUCUCCAUACAAAAACUCUUUGCGAAUUCCAGACCAAGAUCUUGUGUUCUGUAAAGUCUAUCUUUUUCCUCGAGAUUGAACAACGUGCAAGAAUUGUUGUCGCUGUGGUUGUCUUCGGGGAAGAGAACCAGCCAAUGGGUCUGGUUUUUGGGCACGCAUUGUCUCGAAGAAGAGUGCCACGACGAACAUACCGAUUUUGCUCGUCGGAAAUUAGCAAAGCUGAGGCGUUUGAAAACAGAAAUCACGAGAUCAUGAGAAAGCUCGGACCAGGAUUCGGGUGUAUCUCUUGGUCUGAGACGUUCAUGAGAAUUAGGGUUAUGCUUCUCCUCUAUCUCCAUAUCGAGACCAUUGUUAUUGACGACGCGUCAGGGCUUUAUAUGGGCUAUUAAACAUAGUCUAUUUAAUCCAGUCAGCCAUGUAUUCUGUUUUGGUUUUGCAGAAAAAAUAGAAAUGAGAAAAACGUUUACAGGUUUCUAGGGUAUGCUCUAUUUUUGAAUGAUUUUACCGGUGGCAAGAGGUAAAAUAUGGAUGAAUUAGUGAGAUAACUAUUAUAUGAGAUAAAAGAUUGGGAAAUUUGCUUCUAUAACACACACAAAAAUUUAAUAAUUGACUGUUUAACUAAUUGACCUAAAAAACUAAAAUACAAAGUAUAUCAAUACAAUACUAAAAGGGGAAUAAGGGCUCCCCUCAUGCUUCCACAUCCUCAAAAAUAAUCAGCCAAUCAAAUAUCAUUUUUUUGCCACAUCAUCAAUCAGCUUUCUCAAAAGAAUCGCGACUCUUUCGAUUGUCGUCUCAUCUUUUCUCCUCAAGCAAAAACGUUUUCAGACGAUUGUCUUCUCAACUCCCAUGCUUUCCUCCAUCACUCAUAAUUAUCUAUUAAUCCAACCCAUAGAAUCUCUAACAAUAGAUUGAUUCGUCUGUUUGAUUCAAUUUCAUCACCAUCCACAACCGAGACGACGACGAGGACGAGCAGGAAACGCGAGACUUGGUACCGUCAGAUCGACUGGAGAAUCUGUUCCACCAGUGAAACUGUUCUCAGCGAGGUUAAGCCUCACGAGGUUUGUGAGACUGAACAAGCUCUCGGGUAUUUGCCGGAGAAUCUGUUUCCUUGCAGGUAGAGGUGACGGAGAUCGGAGGAGGUGGUUAGAUCGAGAGGGAGAGAGCCGGCGAGGGCGUUGAGACAGAGGCUCAUUGUUCGGAGACGAGUUAAGUUUCCGAAAACACCGUUCGGGAUGGUGCCGGAGAGAGAGACGCCGGGAGACGGAGGGCGGUGACUCUGUUGUUGUCGCAUUUUACGCCGGCCCAGUUGCACGGCGAGGUGUGUCUGAUGUCCCAGCAGAAUGUGCGGCCGCCGACGGAGGAACGGAGAGAGAGAAGAGCGGCUCUAUCGGCGUUGAGGUCUUGGGUUGAAGGGAGAGGGAGAGAGAGUAGGAGGGUUGUGAGGAGAACAGAGAGAAUCGUCAUGGAGGAGUUGGGGAAGACUCGCAUUGUGCGAUGAUUCAUAGAAGGAGAAGGAGAGAGAGAGAGAGAGAGAGAGAGAGAGAGAGAGAGAGAGAGAGAGAGAGAGACGGUAGAAGAAAGAGAAGGCUCUUUUGCAGAGCUGUGGUUAUAGAGACUGAAGUGAAAGCAUUCAACAGCCUAAUCCUAGAUGUAACAAACACUGCUGCAGAAUGAAAAUGGAAUCAUGUAGGUUGGUUCUGCUGGCUCUGCUGCUGCUCCACGCACCCUCUCCUCUGAUGCGCCUGUGCUCGCUUCAGAGCCGCGACCAAAGCGUUGGAGAGCGAAGGCUGGGUCUGAAACAGAGGGUUUGGAUUCGUGGGAAGCCUGUUGAGAACAACGUUGAAACAGAGCUCGAGAGCUCGGCAAUGGAGAGAAGGAUGAGCCAUUUGUCGACCGAGGGAUGUGAAAGGAUGAGACUUUAGACAUGCCCGUCGGAAAAGAUUGGAUUUGUUUUGUUUUUUAUUUUUGUUUUUUGUCUUCACUGAUCCCAGAGUUGCUGAGAGAGUCUUAUUGAUCGUUAUAACACCAAACCCUUCAUUUAGCUUUACAGAUUGGGAUUCUAAGUUGCAGCAAACGAUGGUAGAGAUGUUUCCUUUAAGAUCAGCAGAUGCUGCUUACGGAAAGAUCAAAUCUAUGCUCUCUACUCUUGGUGAUACUUUUACUCGGAUCAUUAGCCCAAAGGUAUUGCUUCCUCCAUGAAUGUGUUCUUUGAUGUUGGUUUUGGCCUUUAAGACACAUCUUGUGACCAUGUAGGAGUACCAAAGUUUCAGAAUUGGUAGUGAUGGGAACCUGUAAGGUGUUGGUCUUUUCAUAAACUCAGAACCAGGAACAGGUUACCUGGUUAGUAACAAAACACACAUCUUGAUGAGACCAACGUAGCAUGAAGUAGAUAGAUGUUGUUUCAUGGUAGAGAGAUCAAUGUAGGUUGUUAUGUCUUGCAUAGAAGGUAGCCCGCACCUCAAACCAUGGACGAUUAUUUACGGUGCCAAAAGCAAAACGCUUAUCACAGUUUCAAUGUUUCUUUCUCAUACAGCUUAGUUUUGUCUGUCUUUGACCAGAUUCGCCUCCCUAUUGAUGAAGACCGGUGAACACAAAACGUCUAGGAGGUACCAUUUCUCACUAUAGCAUAACUACUUCAUUGCUAAUCGUAAAGUUAAAAUGUUUACCGUAUUGUUUGUUAUCGGUUACCAAUGUGAUAGUUAUUCUAUCAUCAUUUCAAAAACGAAUAUGCUUAUAUUUAAGGCUGUGGGUUUGUCUUGCGUGUUUGCAGAAACUACGACGCGACCCGAGCUUACGCUCUCUCCAAGCUAGCCAACGUUCUCCACACGAUAGAGCUUUCCCUGGUUCUCCAUGUAAUUAGUCAUUAAAACCCUUUUAUUAACUUUUUUUUUCUAACAAUAUAAUAUGACUUCUGACAAUUUGACUAAUCACUGUAUAGAAAAUGGAUGCUAAUGUAACUGCAAACUGUGUUCAUUCUGGAAUCGUGAGAACGCGUCUCACAAGAGACGGAGACGGCCUCAUCACUGAUUUUAUCUUUUUCUUGACCUCCAAGCUUUUGAAGUCCGUUCCUCAGGUAUCUUAAGUCAAAUCAAUACUUGAUCGAUUUUCAUUUAUAAAUCAUAUAUUUAAAAUUAUCCAAAUUAACGUACGACAUCAUAAAAAUAGCUUACUGAUCCCUGUUAAUUAUUUAUAGGCAGCAGCAACGACAUGCUACGUAGCAGCGAGUCCGAAAUUGAGGAACGUGUGCGGCAAAUACUUUUCAGAAUGUAAUGAAGCUCGGACUUCUAAAUCCGGAUCGUGCAAUCAUAAAGCUCAGAGACUGUGGACUGCUUCUGAGUUGUUGGUUACUCCACCUUCCACUCCCAAUGUCCGAAGUAGCCUUGCAACGUCCUAAUUCUGUUUGAGCUUUGACUAUUUUCUUCAUUUUACAUCUUCCCGUGUUGUUGUUUUUUUCUUCCUGCAAACAUAUAUUUAAUUGGUUAAGUUUUUUUCCAACCUAAAUUAAUAAUGAGGAUAUGUUUUUGCCAUACAUACAACUCCUUCACGUAAAAAUAAGCUUUAAUAUUUAGAAAAUAAAUUUCCCCAACUGCAAUAUUGUUGUUGCAAAGCUUGGAAUCCUUGAUAAGAUUGAUAAAGGAGAAUCAAAAUGAGAGCACAAAUUCCUACCAAAAAAAAAAUGAGAGCACAAAUAUGUUUAUAGGGUGGAGAAUAUGGAAAAUGAGAAACAUGCUUAUAUUUGAAAACAAUAGAGAACACAGAAUCUACCUUAUAAAGAAUACGAUCAUGGACUUAAAGUUAUGGAAGGAGGCAAUGAAUAUAAACUUGAAAGAAGAAGAUACGUCAUGGAUAUCGUCAAAUGAGAAAAUAGAAACAGGUUAGACAAUGUACAAGAUGGAAGCACGUACUUCCAAGGAAAUUUCUCACUGGAUCAAACUAACUCCUCACUCGAAGCAGCGGCAAUAGCUCUACUAACGGCAGUCCAACAACUUGGGAGGCUUUCUUACAAGCAUGUAACAUUUCAAGGAGACUGCAAAGUGUGAUGUGUUGUUAAAGCUACUAUUUAUGUUAACAUAGAGGCCUAAGAUUCAGUUUCAUUUAAUAUAUAUAUAUAUAUAUAUAUAUUUAUUAAUCUUAAUAAUUAUUUAAAUUAGACUUAUUUAUAUAAUAUAUAUAUAUAUAUAUAUAUAUAUAUAUAUAUAUAUGUGUGGAAGACGUAGGAUCCACUCUCAAAAGAUUGAAUCUCCCAUAUCCAAAGAGAACCACACUGCAUUGUACAUUGUUGUUUACGGUAAAAAAUUCAGCCGUACCAAAGGAUAGCACAUUAAUGGAGCUUGAUUAAGCAAAAGAGCCACAUUUGAGUUCUUAGAACAUGGACGUAAUGAGAAACAUAAGGGACCAAUGAAUCAAUAAUAAUCAUGCUAGAAACCACAAUAGCUUUACGUAUUAGCUUAUAGUCUCAAAAUUGUAGAUAAAAUUUCAUUUUUUUUAUUUUGAGCAUAACAUAUAUAUCAAAGUUAUUACUAUAUUUUUGUAUAUAAGUUUCAUUGUUAUGCAUUUAGAAAAAUGCUGAGAUAAGUAAUAGUAAGUGAGUUAUAGCAAUUAUAAGUCAAAUUUUAAUAGUAAUUAUCCGCGCGUAGCGCGGAAAACGACCUAGUUUAUGUAAUAAUGCUAAUUUAAGUUUAAUCCAUAUAAGUGGCUCCCAAUUAUUUAUUAAAAUAAAUAAAAAGUAAGUGACUUAAUAAAUUAUGGCUACAAGGUGAUUUUUCCGUGCUCAUUCACGGAUAUAAAUAUUUAUAAAAUAAAUAUAUUAUAAUAAUAAAUUAGUUUAUUUUUAUUUUCAAAUCAUUUGUUUUUUUCUCACUCCCUCCAACUUUUAAAGGUUUAUCAUCUAGAACUUGUGUUCUUUUUUCUAUCUUUAUGCUUGUUGUUAGCUUAAGUGCUUCAUGUCCUACUUGUUUUUCACUUCAUGUAACUGUUCUUUUAACUUUAAUUAUAAAGCUUUUUAAAAAACAAUUAAUCAUUUUAAAAUUUAUAUUAAUAAUAUUAUGUUGUUUGCUGACAAAAAAAAAUAUGUUUUAAUAGACAUGUGAUUUUCGAUAUAUAACAUCUAAUUGGUUUGAUUACCACUUGGAUAUAUUAGAUUGCAUCAAUUUCUUCGAAUUCAAACGUUAUAUUUUUCUAAAUAUAUUAAAAACAUUAUAUGUUAUUUACAUUAAGAUUGGUUAUUCUCUUACAUAUCUAAAUAUAUUUUAGUAAGAUUAUGUAUAACGUAAUAUAUAUGUUAUUUUCAAAAUCAAAUUGAAAAGAUUAAACUAAAGUGUUAAUCGAUUCAAAAUUACACAAAUGAAUAUAACGAUAAUAUUUUGAAAUCUCAUACAUAUAUUUUAAAAACGAAGUAAAUUGUAGCAAUUAGUUCAUAUUUUAUAUUUAUUUGUUAGAUCUUUGAUUUUGGAUAUAAGAAACUAGAUUAAUCCAAUUAAUCAUUUUGUGGGUAUAUUGAGUGACAUAUAUUUUUCAAAUUAAAGUACAUAUUUUUUAAUUCUUGUUAAACCAAAUUGGAAUGAUUUUAUUUAUCGCAUUAGUUCAGUUUUUCAUUUUUGAUGGUAAGAAUAUUUUCGCAUUGUUUAGAAUAAUUUAAUAUAUGUUUAUUUUCCAAAAUAUAUUAAAAAUUAUUAUUUUAUUAUUGUUUUUGACAUCAAAAGGCUAUUAUAUUACUCAAACUAGAGGUUGUCUGGAAAUCUAGACCGGAAUAAAACAACCAACAAAAAUUAAAUCACAGUAAAAAGUCUGAGCUAUCCUAGAUAAACCAUAUGUUGUCGAGUUAUGCUCUCUUAGCAUGUGGAAAAUCUUGAAAUCUAGAAAUCGUCUCUUAAGGAUUGUUACCUCCCCUAGCUUCGUCGAGAAAUUCAGCCAUGCUUUCGGGUCCUCAAUCAUCGAUUAAAUAUCCUUGCCGUCUGUCCCAAAGUUCUGGCAGUUUGUGUGUUGAAGCAUGGUGUCCAUUGCGCAAAUUAAUGCCUUCAGUUCUGUGUGCAAAAAAGAUACGAUUUUUUUGUUUCUCAAUUCCAAGAGUUGUUCGUUCCCAUAUUCAUUCAUCCAUAUCCAACCAUAACCACUACAUGGUGUCUAGUAUUUUUUAUUAUUUAUUUAAUUAAAUUUUAUAUUGAUAUAUCUAUAAAGUAAGAGUAAAAUAAUUUUUUACAUGUUUAAUAAAAUCUCUUUUGGCCAUUUUUCUGUUUAUGCAAUUUUUUGGUUAAAAAAACCUAUUUUAUGUUCUUUUAAGAAAUUUGUCCUAUUAUACAAAACAUUAUUUAUUUAUCUAUAACUUUAUAAUUAAUAUACUAGAAAAGUAGAUAUUCAUAAUGAUAUGAUGCAUAAUUAACUUUGUAUUUAAAGAUAACAUAUUAAACCAUUUAUAUAUAUAAGACAUAAGUACUUCCCGAGUACAUCUGUUUAUCACUUCCUAUUUUGGAAGAAGAAAAACGUGACCUAUAUGGAACCACUUAUUGAAACCUUUCCAUGGAUCUUAUGGUACAUUUGGAAGGCACGUAACGAUAAAUUGUUCAAUGGUAGAGAGGUAUCACCCAUUGACACCCUUCAGCUAGCUUCCGUCGAAGCCGAAUGCUGUAGGAAAGCGAACUUACCCGAGGACGAAGAGGAAGAGGAGACACGAUCUGCUCCAUCAGUUACCUUGACUCUCCCUGUGGCCCCCCAACGCCCGACAUGUCAAAUCGAUGCGUCAUGGAUCGAUGAUGGCACGGUCAGUGGACUAGGGUGGUUCUACAAGGACCCAAUGGGAGUUGAAAGAUUUGGAUUACAAGGAUGCCGGAAAAGUCUUUCAGCCCUCUAUGCAGAGAUGGAAGGACUUAUAUGGGUGAUGUCUUGUUUACGAGAGUUACAUUGCACCGCGGUUCAAAUGGAGACGGAUUGCUCUGACCUGGUGGACAUGAUUGCAAACCCUACCGACUGGCCGGCCUUUGCCUCUGAGCUAGUUUCUUUCCGACUUCUAAGAGACGGUUUUUCGGAGCUCAGCAUCACCCGCAUACCCAGUACUAGGAAUUUACGUGCAGAUUCUCUCGCUAAGGAGGCGAGAUGUAGCGGUACUCUUUUUCCCCAUAUAGAUCAGAUCCAGCGCGGAUAGAGCGUCUCUUCGGAACGACUCAGAUCCGCCUACCACUUGAUUUUAGAAGAUGGGCGUCGCCAAAAAAAUAUAUAUAUAUAAGUCAAAACUCAAGUAGUAGAUGAUGCAAUGGCAUAAAGGGGGAACAUGCGGUGAAUCGCAAGACCCGUUUAUUCAGCAACAUUGGUCUGAUCUUCUGUCGAUUCAACCGGUAACCUCCAAUCAUUGAUGCACCAAAGUAGCCAACACUACCUCAUUCAACACAACAGCGAAUGAUAUUGCUGGGCAAAUUCUUCUCCCAGCUCCAAACGGGAUCAGCUCAAAAUCCUGACCACGGAAAUCAACAGAAGAAUCUAAAUGCCUCUCCGGUCUAAAGUCUUCCACGUCCAACCCCCACGUCAAAGCUUCUCUCCCGAUCGCCUAAGCACUGAUCAGUACCUGUGUCCCUGCGGGUAUGUCGUAUUCUCUUAAUCUAACAUCAUGUGUUGAUUCAUGAGGAGCCAUCAAUGGAAGUGGAGGAUGUAGCCUAAGGGUCUCUUUGAUCACAGCUUUUAAAUACUUCAUGUCUUGAAUGUCUUCUUCUAACACACUCGAUCUCCCCUUACAAAUCGUACGGACUUCUUCUUGAAGUUUGUUAAGACACUCUCGGUGACGUAAAAGCUCAGUCAUCACCCAUUCCAUAAGUGUGUACGAAGUGUCCGUAGCACCCACAAAAACAUCCUGAAAAAAAGCAGAACAAGAAAUGUGUUAAUACACUGAAGCAUCAUUGAAUCUGAAUUCAUAUUUUCUUUCAUUUACCGAUAUUAUUGCUUUUAUGCUGAGUCGGUCGAGUUGGAAACCAACGCUCUUAUCUCUCUGAAUGGUUAGCAAUACAUCCACGAAAUCAGUCCCAUCUCUGUCACCAUCUACAUGAUCGUCCAAAACUUUCUCCAAGAACUCAUCAAAAUCAUUUCCUGUCUUUUUUAGCUGACUAUCCAGACCACGGAUCCAAUCAAUCCACGCAAGCCAGGGGACAUAAGUACCCACACUAAAGGUACCCAAAAUAGCCUCGAGAACCUUUCUGUUAACUCCUUAAAAUCUGUUUCACAGCCGUAUUUCUUUCCCAAAGCAACUCUACAUAUAACAUCAUUAGUUAAACUCGACAAGAGCUUGCUUAGAUUCAACGGCAAAGAACUUGAUUUCCGGAUAUUUUCUAUCAUCAGGCUGAUCUCUUCUUCUCUCACGUCACGAAAUGACCGUACCAUUUUGUUGCUGAGGAGAUGGACGACACAAACACUCUUCAUUUGCCUCCAAUACUCUCCAUAUGGAACUGAGGCCACAUCACGCCCGUUGUAAAGAAGCUUCUCGGUGAUUUUAGUCCAUGGACGGCUUGCAAAAACCCUGUCAUGCGUCUUCAAAACGUCUCGAGCCGCGUCCGCAGAAGAGACUACAAGAACAGGGACACGACCAAAAUGAAGAAGCAUGAGAGGACCGUAACGGUGGCUGAGAGAACAUAGUGAUCGGUGAGGGUGGCGGCCGAGUUGAUGAAGGUUUCCGAUUAACGGAAAUCUCGGUGGUGACUUCGGUGCGUUGCUUUUCUUCCCUGUUGACCUAUUUUGCAGGAAGAGAGUGGUAAUUAAAAUUAUUGAGCAUACGAGGAGUAUCAUCAUCAUCGUACUCAUCUUUAAAUUCUUCAAGAUUAGUUUUCCCCUCAAGAGAUUUUUAUGAUUUUUGUAAUCUUUGGACUGAUGUACAGAUAGCCACGUAACUAAUGGAUGUCCGCAUAUAUUUGUUCCAGUUAUAAAGAACAAAGGAAACGAACGGGUGUGACUGAUAACCAUCGUAUAAACACUAGAACGGUGAAAAAGAAUGAAUAGAAAUAAAAUUUUAAGAAUGAUGAUUUUUUAUUAAAUUUAACGAGGAAUAGUUUUGUUCUAUAAUUCUCUAUAAACAAAGUAAUGAUGAAGAAUGAAAAGGAAAACUUAUUUCUCAUGAAUGGUAAAAUUUUCGAAAAAUUAUUAGGAAACGUAGAGUUUCUCUUCAUUCAUUUGGUCACUAUUCAAUGUCUUAUUCUACUGAUAAUGAUGACCAUAUAUAUAAGCAGUGUUCUAAAAAUUGGUCUAGACUGCUCUAGGCGUCCGCCUAGUUGGCAAAUCGUGUAUGAGCAAAAUAAUUUUUUCAAAUCAAUUUUUUUUAAAAAAUUGGUCUAUGCAACUAGACAUUUCUCUAAUGCGACUUGACAUUUCUCUAAACAAUAAUCAUCUAUAAGACGCCUAACUACCGCCUAUCUAUUUUUAGAACAUUGAAUAAAUAAAUCUAACAUGGAUACAAUAGCUUUGAGAAAAAAGUUUAACUUGGAGAAUAAAUAAAAGACUUUUCAUAAUGAGCAUCACUAAAAUAUUCAUAACAUUUUCCCUUGAUGUCCAUUAUACCAAAAAUACUUUUAAAACGCCGUAAAUGCUACCUCGUUAAAAACCUUACCAAGGAAAUCCAAUAGGAAAAACCAUGCUUAAGGGAAAAAGAGUGAAUCGUGUAAUGACUUCCCUUCGCGUGUACAUACAUCAAGAUCUUUGAGAUAACGAAAUCAGAUCAAGUGAACUAAAUUUUUGAAAGUAUCAGCGCCUUGAUGAAUAAGUCAGUGAAAUUGUCACUUAAACGAACUCGUAGAACACGAACACCGCCAUUCUUCUGCACUGCAUGAGUGUUUCUAUGAUUUGAUUAUUUUCUCUGAUUCUCUUGAUUUCAAAUACUUUAGAUUGGUGAUAGACUUUUGUCUUUGAAAUUAUAAUAUUCUUUUUGGGUGUUUAUUACUGUGUGUUUUUUAUCUAUACUAUUAAAAGAGAAGCAUUCUUAAAAAAUCUAUUUAUUCAAGGUUGUUUGGACCUAUUAGUUAGACUAACACCACAUAAUUUAGCCUAUUUUUAAGCCAAAGUAAUAUUCCAUACAUCAACUCAUAAUUUCCUUAAUGUACAAAACGAUAUAUUAUAACUAACAACGAUAUUUUACGUAAAUAUUUUAUUAUUAUUUUCUUAAUACAGAAAAUAACUUAAGGAAAUAGUCAUAACAAACGGAUUAAUAUUAAUGUACAUAUUUUUGGACCCUACAUAUAAAUUAUCGAACAUAUGAUGCAUACCUUUGUAUUACAAACUUAACAAUAUUCAAUGCACUUUUUAAGUGAUAUGUUAUUCAUGUAUUUCUUGACUCUUUUUAUGAAAUGUUAUCACAAAUUUAAUAUCUGAAAUUGAAAACUAUAUCAAUACUAAAAAUAAUUGGUUUUAUAAUAAUGUAAAUUGAUAGUUGUAACUAGGAUAUAAAUAUAUGCGAGGAAAAUUCAUUUUUAAUUUAAAAUUGAUAGCUUGUGUGUUAAUGACAAUGUUUUGAAAACCGAACGGGACACUGAUUCAACAUUGCACCUGGGUCAAUGGUCGGACCGGUUUAAUCGGUUUAACCGCUUAAUUUUAAUUUAAUUUUACAUACAGAUGACUUUUUGCAAAAGUGACUCAAAACUUGGAGUCAAACAGAAAACUAACAUUUUCUUUUGAUUCCUUUUUUUUGAGAUUUUAACCCCACACCUGCAUUUUAUCUACGAAAAUGCCAUUAACAUUUUUUUUUUUUCGAAAAUGGCUUCUUUACUGUCUCAACCUCAUCUUCUUCAAGUAUUUACAAUAUUGCCACUGCAAUGAAUAGUGGCAACAACCUUGUACGAACUGUUUGGAGCUUUUAAUGCCCUUUAAUGCACGUAAAUCUCUUUACACUCUCUCUGUUUCAAUUGUUAUGAACUAAAAACAACAUUUCUUUCACUUUCUCUCUAUAUUCAUCCAAAAAACUCAAGCUUUUGAUUCAAAAUAUGGGCUAUGGUUGACAGAGUCAUAUUUCUUUCGUUUUGACUUACGGUUGCUUUCGUUUGAGGUUCUGGGUGGUUGGAGAAGACCAUGUGUGCAAACGAAGUCAUCUCACCUAGUUUAAGGUACGAAUUUGAAUUUUUUUUCAAGAUCUGUUCGCGUAGAAGACUUACUAGUAAGUCAUCUGUAUGUAGAAGACUUACUGAUGAGUCUUCUGGUCAAACGGACGACUUAAAUUAAGUCGUCCAGCUUUGUUUGUUAAAAAAAAACACUCCAGACGACUUAUAUAUAAGUCGUCUACGAGAAACGGGCUAGUUUUGCAUUUGACUGAAUCGUGUCAGAUCUUUGACUAUUUCUGGACGACUUAUAAUUCAGUCGUCUCUGGGAAAGUUAAAAUUUCAAUAUUUUAUGAAAACUUGACGACUUACGUGUAAGUCGUCCUAGGUUAGUUUUGUAAUUGAAAAAUAAAACUUCAUAAUUUAACUUUAACCAGACGACUUAAUAUAAAGUCGUCCCUCCAGAAGACUUAAUUUAAAGUCGUCCGGGGAAAGCAAAGUCGUUCAGAAUUUUUCCCAAUUUUCUGGUCAAACCUUGCUUAUCCCGGACGACCUUAAAUUAAGUCGUUUAGCUGGACGACUUUCAUCUAAGUCGUCUGGAGAAAGUUAAAUUUCAAGUUUUAUUUUUCAAUUACAAAACUAACCUAGGACGACUUACACGUAAGUCGUCAAGUUUUCAUAAAAUAUUGAAAUUUUAACUUUCCCAGAGACGACUGAAUUAUAAGUCGUCCAGAAAUAGUCAAAGAUCUGACACGAUUCGAUCAAAUGCAAAACUAGCCCGUUUCUCGUAGACGACUUAUAUAUAAGUCGUCUGAAGUUUUUUUUUUAACAAACAAAGCCGGACGACUUAGAAUUAAGUCGUCCCUUUUAAUUUUCAAUUGCAAAAGUGACCUCUUUAGACGACUUACCUUUAAGUCUUCUGGACGACUUAAUGCUAAGUCGUCUACGGCAAUGUUUAUUGAACUUCUUCAUUUUCUCUAUGUUUACUAAUGUGUUUUAUUUUGAAUAUUUGCAGAUGAUUUUUCAGUUACAUGCAGUGUAUGGAGAAUGGUUGUUGAGAGAUUUCCGUUGGGAUUUUGUGGUUGAUGAUCUCAAAGGAGCAAGAUUGUUUUUAUUGAAUGAAGAUUCAACACAUGUUGAACUUGUUGCAAUGGCUCAAGAAGAUUAUAACUUGGACAUGAGAACAGUGAGUGUGGAGAUUAGCUACUCAUUACCAGCAGAAAUGAUGAUGGCUCCAGGCAGUCUUCCCAUUCAUGUUACAAGUGAUAGACAAGUUCGAAACUUGCUGGAGAUACUCAAAACCCAUAGAGUAUGUCUUUGUGUAUCAAGCCGCAGCAAGGUCGAAACGGUUUCAGAGAAAAGGGAUAUUGAUGAAGCUGGUGAAUGGGAAAAAGAUGUUGGUGAUAAUGAUGAAGCUGGUGAAUGGGAAGAAGAUGUUGGUGAUGAUGAUGAAGCUGGUGAAUGGGAAGAAGAUGUUGGUGAUGAUGAUGAAGCUGAUGAAUGUUUUGAAGAUGUUGGUGAUAAUGAGUUUGUUGAAGAUGAAAAUCAAGAUGGGGAGGAGGAAAAUGGGGAGGAGGAUGCUGAUAAUUCUAUUGUUGGUGAAACGGAUCAGAAUGGUGGGGAUUACAGUCUUUAUGGAAAGGUUCCAGAUGAGGACGAGGAAGAUGAUGAUAAUAUUUGUUUUGAAGAAAUCCAAAAGACAUAUGCUAAGACAAAUGCUAUUGAAGGAGGAAAAUCGAAUGGUACCAGUAUCUAUGUCAACCAGAGUUUUGUUAGCAAGGGUGCACUGCUUUCAGAGCUGCGGUUGGCAGCAGUGAGGGGUAAGUUUUCUUUCAGAUUAUACAAAUCAACAAAAACUCUCGUUGUGGCAACAUGUCGGGUUAGCUAUUGUGGAUGGAAGGUCAGAGCGAGUGUCAAACAUGGGACAAACACGUUUUGGGUAACAAAUUAUGUGGAAAAACAUUUAUGCUCAGCGGGAGACCGAAUCGCUCAGCGGAGACACUGUACUCCGAAGUAUGUAGGUAGUCUUUUCAUUGAUCGUGUUGGAAUCAUUGAUGGGAUAACUCCGCAGCAUAUCACUGAUGCAAUGAGGAACAUGUUUGGCAUGGCGCUUGAUUACACCACUUCAUACAGAGCACUGUUAUAUGCACAAAGAUUGGUGAGAGGAUCAGCAGAAGAAGGGUAUUCGCGUCUGGCAUCAUAUCUCGAGCAAAUCUCCAUUGCAAAUCCUGAUUCUAUCACGGCGAUAGAACUUGAUUCUAUGAAAAGAUUUAAGUAUCUAUUUCUCUCUUUUGGAGCUUCUAUCAAAGGUUUUAAGUAUCAGAGAAGGGUCAUUGUGGUGGAUGGAACUCACCUAAGUGGAAAGUAUGGAGGAACUAUGUUAGUUGCAGCCGCACAAGAUGGCAAUUUUCAGAUAUUCCCAUUGGCUUUUGGGAUCGUGGAUGAGGAAGAUGUACCUUCUUGGGAAUGGUUUUUCAUAAAAUUGGCUAGUUGUAUAUCUCAUGACAAGCCUCUGGUGAUAGUCUCCGAUCGGCACAAGGCCAUUAAAAGUGCGUGUGAUAAGGUGUUUCCUUGGGCAACCCAAGGAAUAUGUUAUUAUCACCUUCAAGAUAACAUUGUCAAAAAGUUUAAAGGGAAACAUCUCAUGUACUUGGUGAAAGGGGCUGCUUAUGCUCACACGGUUUACGAUUUUGACCGGUACAUGGCUGAGAUACGGAGUGCAAACCCAGAACUUGCAACGUAUUUGGAGAAAGCGGAUACGAUGACGGUCGAACCAAUUGAUGGAUGACAUUUCUUUGUCAAAAGUGGCAAAAUGGACUGUGUGGUUGAUUUGGAACAUGCAAAGUGUGAUUGUGGUGUCUAUGGAGUGGAGAAAAUACCUUGCUCUCAUGCUAUAGCUGCUGGAACACAUGCUGGUUUGCAUAUCUCCACACUUGUAUGUCCACUGCACUCAAAGAAUUAUCUGUAUGCAGGAUACUCAAAGAAUAUAUAUCCUAUCGUGUCACAACAUAUUGAGGAACGAGAAUGCUUUCCUCCAGAACUAAAGCGUGGUCGGGGGAGACCGAAAAAAUCAAGAUGGCAAUCUUGGUUGGAGCUAUCUAGGAUGAGAGGACACAAACCCAGGAAGAAACACAGGGCACGGAGAUGCUCAAACUGCAAGGAAACUGGCCAUACGAAACCACAAUGUACACAACCAGUUGACUAGUUGUCCAGACGACCUAAAUUUAAGUCGUCCAGUCUUGAUUACCCGUCCAGACGACUAAAUUUUUGUAUUUUAUUUUUAGACUACCUUCUACUAUCCCUUCAAUUGUAUUUUAUUUUUAGACUACCUUCUACUAAGUCGUCCAGUGUAUUUUAUUUUUAGACGACCUUCUACUAUCCCUUCAAGUGUAUUUUAUUUUUAGACUACCUUCUACUAUCCCUUCAAGUGUAUUUUAUUUUUAGACUACCUUCUACUAUCCCUUCAAUUGUAUUUUAUUUUUAGACUACCUUCUACUAAGUCGUCCAGUGUAUUUUAUUUUUAGAAGUCCAGUGUAAGUCGUCCAGUGUAUUUUAUUUUUAGAAGUCCAGUGUAAGUCGUCCAGUUGGAAAACCUUCUAGACGACUUAUAAUAAGUCGUCCAAACCUUCUAGACGACUUAUUUGUAAGUCGUCCAGUUGGAAAACCUUCUAGACGACUUAUAAUAAGUCGUCCAAACCUUCUAGACGACUUAUUUGUAAGUCGUCCAGUUGGAAAACCUUCUAGACGACUUAUAAUAAGUCGUCCAAACCUUCUAGACGACUUAUUUGUAAGUCGUCCAGUUGGAAAACCUUCCAGACGACUUAUUUCUUCCAGACAACUUAUAUAUUUACAAAUCUAUACAAAGACAAGCUGAAAUACAAAUACUUCGCUCGUUAAAAAAUCAUGUUCAAAUACAAAGACAAGUUCAAAUACAAACACAAAUCUAAUCAUACAUGCCCACGAACUUAUCACCAUCCACAUUUUCUUUCAAAUGCUGAUCAACAAGCUCCUUCCAUAUAUCCACCGCCAUAUUAUCCCUCAUUUUCUUCGCGUUGCACCUAGCAAAGUCUUUAGGGUCAAAGGAGACCCCAAGAGCAUGACAUUCAAUGUACUUUACAGCGUACACGCCACAAUCACCAUUGUUGGCCGUGGUUACACCUUUCAGCGGUCUCUCAUAUGUGUAUGGCUCCAACCCGUAUUUGACCCGUAUUUCGUCGGUGGCUGCGCACUCAACAAGCAGAUAAGGGACCAUCUGGAGAAAAGGCUCCAUUAUCGCAUCCCAUGCGUCUGGUACACUAGAUGAAGGUAUGCUGUCCCAGACGACUAUGUGCUUCUUAGGGAUCGAUAUCCAAAUAGCAACCCAAUGCUUGUCGUUCAAGUUCACUGGCGCAUAGAUAUCAUCAAUGUCCUCCCCCCACUUCUUGUUUGAUUGACAAAAUGAAGGUAUUGAUCCGUCAUAAAAAUUCGACGCCCCACCAGGUAGAACUCUUCCUAAACCUUUGUGAUCAGGUUCCGAUGUUUUGAAGAGCUGAUACUGCUCUCUCCAAGACUGGGAAAAGUUGUGAUCCAGGAAGCACAUUCGCUCGCUCCUGAAAGCUUGUGGGUUCUCCUGAUACCUCUGCCUUAGCACAUUAAUCCAAGCAUCUAUAUGCUGCAUAUUAAAUAUAACAAGUUAGAAGUUACCAGACGACUUAAAUAUAAGUCGUCUACGUGGUCGAUUUAUCUUUAAGUCGUCUGGAAAGUAGUCUACUUGGACGACUUUGUAGACGACUUAAAUCGUGUGCAGAAGACUUACGCAGUCUUCCAGCCAUUCUCUGGCUGUCCGGAGGAAGUGGUACCACCUUGUUGGUGAUGUACGUGGUUUGUCCUCGGUCUUAGUUGAAUAAUGACUGCAAACAAAAAAGCAAUCAGUUUUGGACGACUAAAUCAAGCUAUUAUGGGUAAAGCAAUCACUUACGGAUCAGUUUUCAACCAAUCAGCGAGUUCCUUCAACUUAACUUUGUUUACUGGCGGAAAUGGAUUAUAGGCUGCCACUUUAUCUUUUUUUUUCUCUACCGUAUAAGGAGAUCUCACAGUGGGAGCAGGUUUCUUCGCUCGUUUACUCUUUGCACGCUUGUCCAAUACAACCAGGCUCGGUUCUGAAACUGGAUCGCUUGGCUCGGUGGAAGCGAGGCUCGGUUGUUGAUCGGUGGAAGCGAGGCUCGGUUGUUGAUCGGUGGAAGCGAGGCUCGGAUGGUGAUCGGUGGAAGUGACAGCAACAAUCUCUUUGGAGGUGACACCAUCUGCUUUAUCCUCCGGCAAGAUCUUAUAUACCGAGUUCGCCUCGGUUGCUGUAUCCUCCGGCAACCAUCUCUGCAAUAAAAGUUGCACACAAGUUAACCCUGGACGACUUAAAUAAAAGUUGUCUGGACGACUAGUUGACCCUGGACGACUUAAAUAUAAAUCGUCUGGACGACUAGUUGACCCUGGACGACUUAAAAUUAAGUCUUCCGUGGUCAACUAGUCGUCCAGACAACUUACGUUUAAGUCGUCCAGGGUCAACUAGUCGUCCAGACAACUUUUACAGUCGUCUGGACAACUAGUUAACCCUGGAUUUGAUACUAACCUCUUUGAUUUGAGGAGGCUGUUUCUUUUGAGGAGGAGGCUGUUUCUUUUGAGGAGGAGGAGGAGGCUGUUUCUUUUGAGGAGGAGGAGGCUGCUGUUUGGUUUGAUGAGGAGGAGGCUGGUUACUAACCACGGUUUCAUUGGCAUGAGGGGUAGCCUGUUUGUUACUACCCCCGGUUUCUUUGGCAAGAGGGGUAGGCUGUUUAUCUUGAGGGGUAGCCUGAUUGGUUAGAGGUGGAGGGGUAGCCUGAUUGGUGACACCAACCUUCUUCUCCACAGCUUCCAAUCUAUCGGACAACUUCCUAAACUCCCUGAUGCACUUCUUAAACCCUUCUUUCAUGCAGUCAGCUACGCCCUUGAACAUAAUUUCCAAAUCCUCUCUGGUCACCCCUCUAGCCUCUUCUCUAGCCUCUUCACUAGCCACUUUAGGAGCCUCUUUACGAGCUUUCUUCCGAGGUCUUGGAUUGUCUUCCUCCUCCUCCUCCUCCUCCUCCAACACAACCAUCUCUUUGGCUUUCUUCGAUGGAGUCACAACCUUAGGUUUUGUAUAGACCUUAGUACCAGUGACUUCCCAGCAAUCCAUGGUCCACUUCCACGGUCUCCGCUCAUACAUGACUUUAAUGAUGUUCUCCGCGGGCAGGUCCUCAACAUCAGAGUCCCAUUUUGGCCACAUUUCACUAAUGUCCUUCUCAACAAAGUUGAUCACGCGGGUCUGCAGUAAAUAGAAGAAUCGAGUUAGAUAUUUGAAAAAAAUACUAAAUAGACGACUUAAUUAUAAGUCGUCUACAAACAGACGACUUAUAAUAAGUCGUCUAAUAAGUCGUCCAGCUGGAAGACUUUCCAGACGACUUAAUUAAGUCGUCCGAUAAGUCGUCCAGCUGGGAAGACUUUCCAGACGACUUAAUUAAGUCGUCCGAUAAGUCGUCCAGCUGGGAAGACUUUCCAGACGACUUAAUUAAGUCGUCCGAUAAGUCGUCCAGCUGGGAAGACUUUCCAGACGACUUAAUUAAGUCGUCCGAUAAGUCGUCCAGCUAGACGACCUUCCAGACGACUUAUUAUAAGUCGUCUGCGCAGUCUUUUGGAUUGAAGUAAAUACCUGACUCAAGAUAGCAGCUUUCAUUGAUCUGCGGCCUCUGCUGCCCUCGUAAGCCAGUAUCGGUGGAGACGGACUGUCUGCUCUGGGACCACCAAUACUAGCACCCAACUCCGGCAUAGCUGUGUACGCCCAGACCUGAAGAACUUGUAUAAACCCAUCCACGGUGUAACAGCCAGUAAUUUCUUUGUUCCACAAAGAGUCCAUCAGCACCUUAAACGCGACUCUCCCCCAUGGAUAAUUCUCAAACCGUUCUAAAUCCAUCACUAGCCUUGCCAGAGUAGAUCGUGUAGCGGUUGAAAACUUUCUCCUUUCAAUGAAUCCAGUAAAGAUGGAGGUGUACGCGAGCCGCUUGCGAUCUUCCCUGGACCAAUCCCCGCAUCUCUUCAGUGCUGCUAUUAUCUGAUCAGUAGUUGGCCCAGCUUCCAGAUGAACUCCCAGCAUCCCCCAGAAAGAAACCAUCUCUUGGGUAACGUCACAUUUUGGUGUCUCAAGGUCCUCGAUGUACUCGCAGUUUAGACCAGUGAGGUUUUCAAACUCUAACAGUGAAAACCUCAAAGGUUCUGGACCAACGAGAGACCACAUCUCAUACUUCUUCUUAAUGUCCAGCUUGAAACUGAGCAUGUAGUGAACCAGCCUUGAAGCCCAACCAAAUCCCUGCUCCUUGAACUUGAUGAAAACUCCCAAACUCGACUCCUUGAACUCUUCAAAUUCGUCAUCAGUAAGAGCUUCCCUAAGAGCAGUAUGCAACUUGCUGUUAUCCGUAUGAUACGAAAUGCUAUUGUGGGCUUCUGGCUCUUCCCCUGAUGUGUAUAACCUACGGGGGAGUUCUGGAAUAUCCAUCCUUUUUGUCUGCAAAAUAAUCAAAGACAACAAUAUAAGUCCAGACGACUUAGUAGACGACUUAUAAUUAAGUCGUCUGGAAAGUCUUCCAAAUGGACGACUUAUAUUUAAGUCAUCUACUAAGUCAUCCAGUUGGAAGACUUUCCAGACGACUUAAAUUACUUACAAGUCUUCCAGUACAAAGCGGACCUGAUUAGUCGCAGAAGGAGUUGGAGUACUCGUCAUUGCGGUUAUAGAUCUGAAAAAAUAAACGUGAAACGGUGAGAAUGAGUAAAUUGAUAGAGACAACGUUUUAUGUUCAUCUUUUCCUCGAGAUUGAUGACUUAUCGGCGUUAGGGUUUACAGAGAAACGGCGCUAAGGUUUACAGAGAAGAAGCGGCGGCGCUAGGGUUUAGAAGAAGCGGCGGCGCUAGUGUUUAGAGGAAGCGGCGGUGAGAACGUUGGUGACCACGGUGGCGAGGGCGACGGUUUGUUCGGAAAUAGUGGAAGCGGCGGCGCUAGGGUUUAGAGGAAUCGGCGGCGCUAGGGUUUAGAGGAAUCGGCGGCGCUAGGGUUUAGAGGAAUCGGCGGCGCUAGGGUUUAGAGGAAUCGGCGGCGCUAGGGUUAGAAGAAGCUGCGGCGACAACGGUGAGAAUGAAGUGAGAUAGAUAGCCGACGUUGAGAACGAUGGUUUGUUCGGAAAUCGUGGGAAUUCGAAAUCGCCUUUGAGAGAGAACUGUUAGGGUUUCUUAAUUUGCGAAAAAUGAAAUAAAAAAAAAGAAAAAAUCACCUUAUAUAUUGGGUAAAUAAUCCGGUUAGCUUUAAAAGUACAUUGGUAAACUUUAAGGUUUGGUCCGGUUUAGACGACUUAUUCUGGCUGAUAAUGUACAACAGACGACUUAAUAUUUAGUCGUCUGUUUUCAGACGACAAAAUAUUAAGUCGUCAUAGACCCUAAAAUGAACCCCUAAACUAAAAUGACUAGAUUAACUAACUAACCACGUUAUAAAAUCAAAUUAUACUUAAAUAGUGUUUACUAUACACAGAAAUGAACACGCAUAAGUAAUUUUAAAAAUUUUCAAAAACGGUUUUAAUGCUUUCCAAAAUCUAACCCUAAGAACACAUACAAUACUACAACAUAUGUUGAUGAAACAUAAACUAAAGAAUAUCAUGACUCACUACUUUCACUCAUCUAUGCUGAAAACAAUUGAAAUUUGUUAUAUCUUAAUUUAUACCUCCUAAGACAUAUGUUAAUUACAUAAUUCCCAUUUUUCACUUAUCAAAAUAUUUUUUACAAAAUUUUUAAAUUAUGUUUAAGACUAACUGUCCAGACGACUUUCAGUUAAGUCGUCUGGACGACUUAUUUGCAAGUCGUCUAAACAGACGACUUGCGAGGGGUAGAAACGUAAAAAAAAUUCCGUUUUUUUGUUUGGUCACAAGGGGAUAGUUGUAAUUUCAAUAGCCUUUUAGGUUACUUUUGCCUUUGACCCAAGUUGGGGUAUUGUUUUGGGUUUGACUCCAAAUUUUGAGUCACACUUGGCAAUUCUCCCUUUAAAUUAAGCAACUAUAUAUAUGUAAGUAUAACUAUAAAUUAAUUUUGAUAUAAGUUUAUGUCAAUGUUAUAUUUUAAAACUGAUAUGAAAAAUAAAAUGAAAAAUUCAAAAAUUAAAACUAAUUUAUUUAUAUAUGUAGUAGAAAACAAUAUUAAAUUUUGAUGAAAUCUUAUUAAAAUUUGCAUUUUUUUUUAUUUUUUAACUUGAAUUUGCGAAAACUGGGUUUUAAUAUUGAACUACGUCCGAUUUAACUCAAAUUCGGUUUUUAGCACAACUCAAAACCAGUUAGAAGAGCGAGUCAGGAUCCGACUGGUUCGAUCGUACGGUCCGAUCAGAUUUUCAAAACAUUGGUUAAUACAGUUCAAUAAUUAAAAUAUGUAUUUUUAAUAAUGAAUAUCUUUACUACUAAAAACAUACAUAUCAUCUUUAAAUCUAUUUCAAACAAAUCUCACACUAUAAAAAAUAAUGAAUAAUAAAAACAUUAAAAAUCAAUAGUUAUAUUGUGAAACAAAAAAAAAAUUAUACUAGAUUUAAAAUUUGUUAAAGAUUAAAAACUUCAAACCCGCGGUUAAGAAAUCUAGUUGUCCCGUUAAAACUGUUAUAGAAAAAUUUAGUGGGAUAAAAAACAAUGAUAUCGAAAAAGUGUACAACCGCGUACAUUUUAACUUUUCUUGCCCUGAAACAAUAUUUUUAGGAUACGCAUCCGGUCAAAUAUAUCUUUCUAAGAAAUCGAGCUUAACAUAAUAAUUUCUUUUGAUUUCUAUUAUAAAAUGUAGGGUCUUUAAACUUCUGGUCCAUAUCAUUCUGUAUGUUUAUAUGCAGUAUGAAGACAUUCAUAUAUAAAUUGGUGGAAAAAAUACAGUAUAUAUAUUAUUGAAUUCUAAUGACAUUAAGAACAUUAAAUUAAUUAUUUGAUAUUACUAAAAUAAAAAGACAUUCAACGUAACAUCGACUUAAAUACAGUUUCUAGAACCACCCAUCAAAACAUUUCUUUGGGCAUUAAUAUGAAUGUUUGAAGGUUACAUUUCUAUUAUUUCUCAUGAUCAAUUGUAUGCUUUUUAAUUUAACAGGCCCUUAAACCCACAACUUUUGAUGUAUCUUGCUAUCCAAUCAACCCUCAAACCCACAACUUUUGAGGGUUUCAAUAGUGAAAAUAAUUCAAAUUUAUUUUCUUCCACUUGUGAGGCCCUUUAAACACUAUCUAUAUAUGUGUAUUGCAAUAUUAAGUUUUGAAUUUAAUUAUUUAUAAAACUGUGCAGCAUAAAUUAUAAUUAAUUAUUAUGAAGAUUGUACAUUAAAAUGUAAAAUGUAAAAAACUAAAUAUCGUUUGGAAGAUCCUCCACCACCAAAUGAUCCUCCACCACCAAAUGAUAUGUAAUCAUUCAUGCAUGUUUAUAGGUAGUAUUUCUAGGUCAUAUAUAAAUUGUUGGGAAUCCGACCUUGCAGUUUUAUCUCUCUCUUCAUUAAAACAAUAUGUUUAGAAAAUCGGUACACAUGAGGUAAUACCAUUUUGAAAUACUAAAUACUUUUUUGUUUCUUUGUCUAAGUAUUAUAUAGUUAUGUUUUGGUAAUAAGUCGGUAUAUAUUUGCUGGUUUGAAAAUGAUUAUAAGGAAGUGAUAAUCAAUAUUUUUAUUAAUUUUUAAUGAUGUUAAAUGGGUAUUUAAUACUUCUUCUGUUUCAGAAUAGACUAUGUUUUAGAAGAUUUUUGUUGUUUCAUAAUAUAUGAUGUUUUGAUAUUUUUAUGUUAUUUUUAAUUUUAUUGGAAACGGUGUAACCAAUUAGAUAUUGUAACCAUUUAUGUAAUUGGUUGAAUGAUUUUUAAAUUAUAUUUUUAAAACUAUUUUUUAGAAAAAAUUAAUUUUUUUAAUUUUGUGUGUUGAGAGGUAAAACAUUGCGAAACAAAUAUAUGUAAUGAUACUAUUAUUUUCAUACAACAUCGGCUGCACACAUAUUUUUGAAGUAAUAAUGAUUAACCCUAACCUUUCCUCUGACGUCAGUAGCUUCUCUAUUCUGAAUUAAUAAUGAUUAAUCACUAUAUUCUUAUGUAAUAAUGAUUAACCACUAUAUGCUAAUCGUAUGAAUAAAGAAAAACUAUUUCACUACAAAUCUAAUCAAUUAAAUGGAAGAAUAUAAACAUUUUUUUUUUGCCAUCUAUUUUUAUUAUCAUUAAAAGGCCAAAACCCAACAGGCUAAGCUCGUCUACCGUACAAACAACAUAAGCCCAAAACAUAAGGACGAAAUAAAACUACUUCCACCACAAACCCAAAUAUGGCCCAAAACACUAAAACCCAUCUUUUUCACCGAGACGCCACUCACUCCACGCGUCAAGCAUUAACGUGGACGGUACACGUGUUGAAAUCCUCACCUACGAGGCAACACGCGUCACAUGGCCGCCUCCCGGAGACCUAACUGGCGUUUUACCGGACCUCUGCCGGAAACCGUCUCCCAAUCUCCACCAUCGAACAUACCAGGAAGAGACACCACUACCCCUCCUCUUUCCAUCGUCCACCUCGUGGACCAUCAAUCGGCCGACGCCGAACACAACCCAAAGAAAGAACAGAGCCGCCGUCAACACCAAAGACGAUGCUACGCGGAGUCAGAAACCGACUGUUCACCUUUAAUCGAAACAGGUGCAACAUCGGAGUCAAAAACCGAUCAACCACCUAGCGUUGGUGCGUCGCCGGAAUACAUAGUUUCACUGAGAGAUUCCGGUUGAGAUACAUCUCAUCGCCAAAAAGAAGAAGAGACAGAGAGGCGACAAAGAAACAGAUCCAACAAACACAAAUCCCGACCGACGACGUGUCUUUGAGAGCCCACCGUCGCCGGUUAAAAAACGGAAAUCAGAAAACUAGCCGCCUUUAGAGAGAGGAUAGAACUUUUUCUCUCUCGUCUCUCCGUAUAAUGGACACAUGGAAGAAUAUAAACAUAGAAGCUUGUAUUGGCUGCGUCAUCAUUUAUUGGGAAUAUAGUCCAUCGAUAUAUAACUAAAGUGUCAAUUUCAUAGUAAAAACAAUAAAAUUUUACCUUUUGUUGGCCCAAAGUAUCCAUUAAAGCUUUGUACAAACACAGCAAGAGCUUUGAUUCUUCAUAAUCAAAACAAAACAGACCCCACCAUCUUGAAAAAUGCACGCAAGAGGAAGAGGACAUGUACAAGAAAAAAGAGAUACAUAGGAGUGGAUAAUUAGCAGUCCAUCCAUUGGUGUAUAAGAUCCACUUUUAUUUCCCAUUCAUGAUAACAAUUAACAAAAAGCAGUCUAUCUACUAAAGUAAUGCAUUGUUUGAAAGUGGAGCAAUUUUUUUUUUUGGUCGUUACUUUAAUUAAAAAGACAGAGCAGAUGAAACACUCAUGUUAGAGUAGUUCAGGUAAAAGUCUGUGAAUAGUAACAUUUUCAUUUUAAAAAUAUACAGUUUCUUUUGUUAAAAAUGUCAAAAUAAAAUAAAUAUGAAAUUAUUUAGUGAACAAUACUAACAUAAAAUUAAAUUCAGAAACUUAAGUAAUAUUUUUAUUACUUAUAUUUCUUACAUUCAAAUUUAUUUUAUGAUUUUAAUAUAAUUUUUAAUAGUUUUAACGUUUAUUAUGCUAUACUCUUUAUAUUUUUCAUUUUAGUUAUUAUUAAAAUACUAAAUAUGGCUUAUAUCGAUUUUAUUAUUUGACAUCAUACUUUGUUUUUAACAAUAUGUUUUCAAUUGUUUAAAAACCAAUUAAGUUGAUGUUUAGUUAAUAUUAAAACUAAAAACUAUUAUACUAUUUUACCCAAAUUAUAAUUAUUUUACAUCAUCCAAAAUUAAAUAUAUUUAAUUUUAAAUUUCAAAAUAUUAUAUACGUAAAUUAAUUUCUAUUAUAUUUUGAAUAAGAAUUUAUAUUUAUUGUAAUUAUAAAUUAUUAAAGAAAUAUUUUUAUUUAUUGAAAUUAUAAAUUAUUAAAUAGUAAUAUAAAUAUAAAUUGUUAUAAUUUCUGUUAUAUUUUUAAUAAGAAUUUAUAUUCAAACUAUAAAUUCAAAAUAUAGCAGAAUUAUGUUUUACUUUUAAUUUAAUCUAAUUUUUGAACUAUUAGACGUACAAAAACAUAAUAUAAAAUAUAUUUUUUGAUUAUUUUUAUUCUUAAAAGUAUAUAAUUAUAUAAAUUAUAUACGCAAGAUUAUGUUUGGUUUAAGUUGACAUCACAUAAAUUUUAAACAAAUAAAAUGUUAGAGUUAGUAAAUUGACAGCAAAUAAGUUUUAUAAUUAAAAAAAUAUAAAAGAAGUAUAUAUCACACAGUUAAUCAAAAAAAUUAAAAAAAUUUUAUUAAAAAUUCAUAACAAAACAUAUUAAAAGAAUUAAAAAACAAAACAGAUAUACAUAAAAAUAAUACAAUUAUAUAGUUUUAAAAUAGACUAAAAUAAAAAUGUUAAAACACUAAAAUAAAAAUGUUAAAACACUGUUUACUAAAAGUUGAUAAAACAGAUUAAUAUAAAUAAAAUAAUACAAUUAUAUAGUUUUAAAAUAUACUAAAAUAAAAUGUUAAAACACCACUUAUCAAUAAAUGUUAAAACAUAUUGAUUUUGUAAAUUAGAUUUUGUUAAAAAAUAUUCUUACGCUUUUAAAAUGUGGGUCAAAAUCUAAUUAUAGUCGGAUCGGUCAUAUUUUAAUUGAUGAAACAAGAUAUUUAAAUGAUUUAUAAUAUCCACAUCAGUUUUUGGAUGAAUGAAAUUAAACUCGUGAUGUUAACUACAUGACAUCAUAAAGUUGAAGGAUGUUGUCAUGUAUAUAUAACAUAUACUUCAUGCGAGUAGGUAUACAUUAGUUUGGUUUAGUGAGCAGUCCUUUCCCUUUUAAAAGUAUAUAGAAUGAAAUGAAAUGCAUUUUUUACCUAUUUAUAACUUUAUUUCUGAAAAUUUUUACGUAUCAAAUCCGAAAUGAAAUCAUAUUUAGAGAGUAGAAUUCUAAGAGGACAUCAAUCAAAUUUACAACCAAGUCUCUUCAAAUGUGAUAAACAACUUCCAAAAGGCAACAAGAAUGAUCUUGCAUCAUAAUCAUCUUCUUGGUACUUGCAUGUGUACUAGUCUCCUCUCCACCUCUUCCACGGUUGUCAAUUCCGUUCGUAUCUUCUUCAUGUACAUGUACAAAUAACGAGUUGAGGUUAAAUACGCUGUUGAUAAAUUUGGAAUUGAUGACUGAGCGAAGCAAAAUCAAAGCUAAAAAAAAACAGAUGAAAAAUGAAGGAAACUUUGGAACUGUGGUUGAUGAACAGUUGAACAUGAUAUGAAUUAUUUUAGUAGGUGCGAAAAAGAAGGAAAAGAUAUAAAAAAAACAAAAACAAAAAAGAUUUGAUAUUUUAUAAAGAAGUUAGACGUGGCUAAAGCAUCAAUGAUUUUAAAGUACUUUAGGUAUUAAUACAAUUCCCUUUAUAUAAUGAAUGAAUAUUCUAAAAAAGUACAUCAUGAUUUUAAGGAUAUAUUACUAGAAUUUAUACAUUUUCAAAAUUUCUAACUAUACAUCAUAUGGUUAUGUAAAUGAUAUAUAGUUUUUUUAUGGUCAUACCUUUGUGACAUUUGAUCACAAUUCAAGAAAAGAAAUUUGGACAGAAACAGAAAAGAAAAACAAAAGAGAAGAAAUAAAAACCAGAAUGACUGGUCAUUGGUUCCAUAGUCAUCACUAACUCGUCUUUCUCUCUUUAUCUCUAGCGAUAAAAACAAGAAGAAUUUCAUCAAAUCUAUUUUCGACUUCAUCACCUAUUCGAGAAAUUAUUACAAUCCGAUCUAAACAAAAAUUCCAGAUAUGUUGAAGAUUGGGCAGAGAGGGAUUCGCCACUUACAGCGAUUCAGUACGGCGUCGUUCACGACCGUGUCUGCUUCUUCGAUCGAGAAAGGGCAGAAUCGUGUCGUCGAUGCUUCGUUAACUCUCAUUCGCGAAAGGGCAAAACUCAAAGUAUUACAGUCUUUCAUUUUGUCUUGUUUGUACGACAAAAACAUAAUCAUAUAUAUAUAUAUAUAUAUAUACUUAUUGUGUAGGGAGAGUUGGUGCGUCUCUUAGGAGGAGCUAAAGCUUCAACAUCUCUUCUCGGUGUCCCACUAGGUCACAACUCUUCUUUCCUUCAAGGUCCUGCCUUUGCUCCUCCAAGAAUUAGAGAAGCUAUUUGGUGUGGUAGCACCAACUCCUCCACUGAAGAAGGUAUCAAAAAUAUAUUCGCUGAUUUGUUUAAGAUUUUAGGUAUUAUCUGAUUUAAACUGUGGAAUAUAUAUUUCAGGGAAGGAGCUAAAGGAUCCACGUGUUCUAACUGAUGUUGGGGAUGUUCCGGUACAAGAGAUCAGAGAUUGUGGAGUUGAUGAUGAUAGACUAAUGAAUGUAAUAAGCGAAUCUGUAAAGGUUGUAAUGGAAGAGGUAAGCUAUUUAACCACUAGUCUGAUUUGAUUGUCAAAGUCAUUGUCGACCUUAUACAAUCGUCUAAUAUUUUUCAUAGUUUUUGUAAUAGGAUAAUUAACAAGUGUUAAAAAAAAAAUGUACAAAAGUAAUUGAGAUCCUUGUUUGCUGUGUAAGGAACCAUUGCGUCCGUUGGUCUUAGGUGGAGACCAUUCGAUAUCUUAUCCAGUUAUUAGAGCGGUUUCUGAGAAGCUUGGAGGACCUGUGGACGUUCUUCAUCUUGAUGCACAUCCUGAUAUAUACGACUGUUUCGAAGGCAACAAGUACUCUCAUGCCUCUUCCUUUGCUCGUAUCAUGGAAGGUGGCCAUGCUCGGCGGCUUUUGCAGGUAGGUGUUCUAUGUACAUGACAAUCUCUAGGAAAGAUAAUACUAAGGGGAGCCCACUCUUUACUGUAUAGGUUGGGAUCAGAUCGAUAAACAAGGAAGGACGAGAACAGGGCAAGAGAUUUGGAGUAGAACAGUACGAGAUGCGAACUUUCUCGAGAGAUCGUGAAGUUUUGGAAAAUCUGGUAUCUCUUUCUGUCCCCUGAUUUUUAAGACAAGAGGUGUUAAACUGUGGUUUUUAGUUAGCUUUCGGUUUGGUUGUAAUGUGGUUUGUACAGAAACUAGGGGAAGGAGUGAAGGGUGUGUACAUCUCCAUCGAUGUUGACUGUCUUGAUCCGGCGUUUGCUCCUGGAGUGUCACACAUCGAACCAGGAGGUCUCUCCUUCCGAGAUGUUCUUAACAUCUUACAUAAUCUUCAAGGAGAUGUGGUCGGGGCUGAUGUUGUCGAGUUCAACCCCCAGCGUGAUACUGUCGACGGCAUGACGGCCAUGGUCGCCGCUAAGCUUGUUAGAGAACUAGCGGCAAAAAUCUCAAAGUGAGACAGAAUGGUAUCCUGUAGUUUCUGGUUUUGCUAUGUUUCGGUGUUUCAUUACGAGAUUAUGGACAUCUCCAAGUGAAUCUCGAAGUUUGUAAUAUUGGUUUUGCAUGCGUUCUUGAAAAAGAUGCAAUAAUAGACUGGCCAUGUAGACAGAAGAACAGUCAUAGAUAUGAAUAAGAUUGCUUACAAUAUGGUCAUGCAUCACAGCAAGGUCAACUCCUUUCCUACAUGUCUAAACUAUUUGGGGAAAUAUGGUUCUUUCAAAUUCGCAGAUUCGUUACUUCUUACGUCCCUUUUCACACACUCUUUGAAAUAUUAAUUUACCCUCACAAUGGUAAUGAUUGCAAACAUACAGAAGUUAAAACUAUUUCACCUCAAGGUGCUAAAUAUGACAUUAGUUUGCAACCACGUACUUUUCUUUAGAAAGAAAAGCAAAAGCAACAGCAACUACGACAUUUUAGUAAAAAAAAAAAAAAAAUUUUAAUUUUUUACCAAUUAAAAAAAAAAAAAUUUAGAAAAAAAAAAAAAAAAAAAAAAAAAAAAAAAAAAAAAAAAACUCUUCAGCUAAAAUUGGAUAUAUUACACUCAGUUUUGUCUUUAGUAAAAAUAGUUCGAACAAAUCCAUCAACUAAAACAGAGUUUAGCCCGCAUCCGUCCGCCAGUAUAUUCUUUCGUUUCUAUACCCAUUGACAUAUUGUUUAUAUGAAAUAAUUAAAUAUAAUAAUUGUGUAGGUUUACUCAAAAAUAUUAAAUAUUGAUUUUUAAAAAUUAUAUAAUUACUUAUAUAUUGUUUUAAGAUUUGUUUAAUAAUAGUUGAAUUUCAUUGUUUUAUAAUUUAUUUUAUAUUUUAUAAAUUCAAUAAGAUUAAAGUAUUGUUUAAAAUUUGCUAUUUUAUAUUGUAUAGUUCAAUAACAUUUGUUUUCAUAUGUCUUGCUCGAUAUUAUUAUUUAUAAUAUAUUGGUGUGUACUAUAUUUGUUAUUUUUGUUAUUAAAUAUCAAUUAUCAUCACCACGGUAAAAAACAAUUUCUUAACAAAUAUAUACAAAAAUGUCUUUAAAAUUUGAGAAAACUACUCCGAACUUUUUUUAGUUUCAUACUUAACUUUUAGAACAGAAAAUGUUUAUGAAAAACAUGUUUAGAACUUACUAUUAGUUUAGGUACUACGAAUCUUAAACAACGAUUACCCAAAAUUUUGCAUAUAUGUAGAGAAUUAGCUUCAAAUAGCCCACUCCACAAGAGUCAAAAUCUGUGUGGCUCUUGAUCAGUCACUCCUGAUUUUAUUUUGAAUAACCAUCUGCAACUUAUGAUCUUUCUAUCCUUAGGCUUAUCAACCAGAAUCCAGGUGUGAUUCUUCUGCAACGAAUCCAUCUCUUCAUCUGUUGCAGCAUUCCAUCAGUCCCACUCAUCAGUUUCAGUAGCCUCACUAUAGUCACAAAGGCACUUCAGUACUCAUAGUCCCAGAGACAAACAUCGCAAAUGCUACUUUUUCUUCUAAACAAUCAUAAUCAUCAAAUCUGACCGGAGGAACAAUGAUCAUUUUGCUCUUGUUUCUUGUGAGCUGAUAAUUUGAUAGACUCGUUCUCAUAGCACUGACACCUUGAGUUUCUUCUGUAGCAUCCUCAGUCUUUGAAUCCUUAUGCCUCUAUGUUUCUGUAUGAGGAGAUCCUCCUCCACUAGAGUUUCUUUGGAUUCUUGAACACAUACAAGUAACUCGGUAAGCUUUUCUUCUGUGUCAAGUUUAUCACUUACUGUACUCGAGCCUGUAAUGUCUUUGUAUACAUGAUGCUAAUGAAACUUUACAUUUCUACUAACCACACACUUUUCACUGUCUAGCAACCAGAUCUUAUACCUUUUGGUACCUAUAGGAUAACCAACAAAGAUCCCAUUGACAGCCCUUGGCUUCAGCUUUCCUUGAUCUGCAAAUACAAACGCACCAGAGCCAAACUUCUUGCUUAUAACCAUGCUUCUUGUCCAACCAUACCUCCUCAGGUGUCUUGAAACCUAUGGUAGAAGCUGAAGACAUGUUGAUCACGUAUACAGAAGUUGCAGCUGCAUCUGCCCAAAAAUUUUCACCAAGUCCAUACUCAUUCAAACCUUUUCUAUGAUGGUUUCAUUCAUCCUCUCUGCCACCCCCGCCCNNNNNNNNNNNNNNNNNNNNNNNNNNNNNNNNNNNNNNNNNNNNNNNNNNNNNNNNNNNNNNNNNNNNNNNNNNNNNNNNNNNNNNNNNNNNNNNNNNNNNNNCCAAUUUUUUGUGGUGUGUAGGUGCAGGUCAUGUGACGAGUAAUGUCAUGCUUUCUGCAAAAGUCAUAGAGUGCAUUGCUGCAAAACUCCAAGUCAUUAUCAGAUCUCAAGCACUUUCCCUCUUCCGUCAAUCUGAUUUUCCAUCAGUCUUUUUCAAUCACAAAACAUUGACAAAGUCUAACAAAUUCAAACCCUCCUCGAGUGAUCAUCUAUGAUGGACAAGAAGUAUUGAGUUCCAGAUAGUGAUGGACAUACAUUCGGCGAGCCCCAAUAAAUCCGCAUGGAUAUAAUCCAAAACGUGAAGAGUAUCAUGUUUUCUAGUCUCAAAACUCUCUCUUGGCUUUACCCACAAUGUAAUGCUCACAUAACUCAUCCUUAAUAAUAUAUUUCUUCUUGAGAAUGCCGUCUCUAACCAGGACUUUCAUAUUCAUGUAACUCAUGUCCCCCAAUCUGCUAUUCCAUAGAAAGCAUUUACUCUGGGAUGUCUCAGUAUUGCAUAGCUCCUCCUCCACUGUAUUUCCAUUUAAAUAUACAAACAUUCUUUAAUAUUCCAUGCAUUGCCAACUGGUUGUUCUUUAUAUCAGACCAAUACUUCAACAAAACUUCAAAAAUAAUUCACAAGGAAAUUUUAGGGGUAUUAAGUUUUUAAAUUUUUAAAAUAACUUAAUAUUUUUAUUUUAUAACAAUUAGCAAAAUUUGAUUAUAAUAUACUCCCUCCGUUUCAUAUUAAGUGCGUUGUAGAGAAAUUUUUCGUUGCAAAAUAAGUGUCUUUUAGAAUUUCAAUGCAUAAUUUAUUAACUUUAUUUUCUAGUUUAUUUUUUUAAUAGUUGAAAUAUGGUUAGAUGUAUGGGUAGUGAUAUUUUUAUAUAGAAAAUAUGCGAAAUUAAAUAUUUUUUAAAUUUGUGUGUACAAAUCUAAAAUGACACUUAGGGGGAUGUAUUGAAACAAUAAUUUUAAGAGAGUUUGAGAUUUUGUUAAAAUCUAUUGUUAUUCAACCAAUGAUUUUAAAAACUCUUUCCAAAUCAAGUGUUAUUCAACAUGAGAAUUGUGCAAAGUUAUUGAAAAUCACUCGUAAUAUCUUGUUAUUCAAUUAACAAUUUAUAAAAUUUAUAAAAAGUAAAUCAAAUCAAGUGUUAUUCAAGUGUAAGUAAUAUUUAAGAAAAAAAGUUGUGAUAUUUAGUAGACUUUGCCUUCAUUUUUAGUUAAAAUUAGAUCCCGUAAAAUAACAUCCCUAUAGGUGUUAUUUGAACAAUUUUGAAAAAAAAAAUGAAUAAACCAUUACAGAAAAAUACUGGAGCAGGAGGCUGGAGUCAAAGCCGUCGAGAGUGGAAGGGGACGAUCUUAAAGACGAUGAUUACAGUCAAGUAUGGUGCUUUUGAUACCUCUAAUCUGGAUCAUGACGAAAUUGGUGCAGAAUGCUCAGUUUUGAAUCCAACUUCUUCUUCAGACGCAACAACCCUACAUUAUAUGAGCUCUUCCCUCGUUAUAAGAGACCUGACAAAGAGUAUUACCAAGACUUGGAGGGAUACUGAGGUGGGAUUGAUAAAUACCUUAGCCCUCGUUCUUCGUAUUCUGUUGAUGAUCAUGGUCUGCAGAAUCCACUCAAAAAAAAGAAGAACCAGUACCUUGCAGUCCUAGAAAUUUGUGACGACACGAGCUUGGUUGCAUAUAACCCAUCGAACGAUUCCUACAGAAAUUUACAGACCCAAAAAUCCUAGGCUUAGAAGUGGAUCAACGUUCAUAUCUUAGAGGAGAAUCCAUGCUUCAAUAAGAUGUAGAAGGUGAGGUUAAGCAGUCAUCACACUUUCUGCUGUCACACUUUCCAUUUGUUUUUCGUUUUUAAAAUGAUAGUUUCAUCUUGUCUGGUAAGCACGAGGUUAUCCAAACUCUAAUUGCUGAGUACAUGUUUUCAACAGUGUCUUGUUGAAAUUAAAAGAGUUGAUGGAGUAGCCGCAGUGAAAUGUAGAAAAAAAAAUAUCAUAAAGUAUAUUGAACAAGUGUUCUGUUUUGUGUAUGAUAAAUAUGAGUAACCAUGUAUUGUUCCCAGAGUACAUCAUUAGCUUUGGAUAAAUUAUCUAACUUUUACUUCUGUUAUUUAUCUAAGUUACUCCUAAAACAUCAAACUUUCAUAAAAUCCACAUUGCUAGACCAUCUGAGAAGGACAUGGCUCUAAUAAAAGUGUUAUUGAAGUGUGAGACUACCGAGUAGUAGAAUGUUUGAAUCACCAACCUUUGCGAGUUCUGAUGCUUUGUCAUUUGUGUGUUGCAAUGACUCCUCGAGUAUGACAUGAAUCCCUUGAUUGACUUGCCAUGAACGUAUCAUGUUUGAAGUUUGAUCCAAGUAUCACUUGUAUUUCAAUGUUGGUUGUAUUCUAAUAUACAUCAAUGGCCAGAAGUUCAAUUUUUUAUGCAUAUACGUUAUCAGUGAUAGCAUGAUAGGUAGAUAGAUCCGUAAGCAAAAACUAUGACGAAAACUAUGUGCUCAAAUUACCUAAACAACUCUGAAAUUAUAAAAGAUAUCUUAACAAAUCACAUAUAGAUUCUUAUUUGUAGAUUUUAGUUUUCAUCAAAAUCACCCUAAUAAAUUCAAAAAUCACCUAAAUCCCACUAAAAUUAAAACACCCUAAAGUCUUUUAAAACAAUAGUCCAAUACACCCCCUUAAUAUGAAACAGAGAAAAAAAUACAAUUAGCAUGCAAUUGGAGAUUAGAGUCAAAAUAAACAUAGCUGUUAAAGAAACAGAUUUAAAUAUCAGUUUUCGGUUUAUCUAUUAAUUAAGGUGGAACAUAGAUAACAACAAGGUUUCACUAAAACCAAACAAAGAGAAUCCGUGUCUUUUCUUAUGCAAAGUUCAGUGGUUCUGAUUUGCUUUUCUCUUAUUAAAAAAAAUAUGAAACCUGAAUUAGCUACUAUUUUAUAUAUUAGAAACACAUUUAGCCCAAAUUCAUGCACUAAAAUUUUGCAUCCAUCAUCGAUUAUUUUAUAGCGGAUUUUUUUGAAUGUAACUAUAACUCGGCAGACAAAUAAAUUGAUAUUGUUCAUUUCUGAGGUAAUAUGGUAAAAUCUUUUGCUUUCAGAAAACAUCUUCAGUAGAGUAAUUAGAAAAAUGAAUUGCGUAUAUUUUUGAAGCAGAGGCGGACGCAUAUGAAGGAGGGGGGUGUGGCACGUGCUCCAAUAUCAAUUUUGUUUUUGCCCUAUCUGUAUCAUAUGGAUAUACUUGUUCGGGACAUUUUAAGAAAUUACCUCUUUUGCAAAAAAAAAAUUUACAUGAUAUUUUAAUAUUUUAUUUGUAAAUAAUACUACAAUCUUUAUGAAAUAUGUAUAUAUUAUUGUGGGGGAGGGGGGAGAGACGUAGGUAUACGUUGCAUAGAAAAGAAAUUCGUAAGAAAAUACAAACCUUUAUUAUGUAAUGAAGCUAAAAAUGUUUAAGUAAUGUGAAAAGACGAACUUUAACUAAAAAGAAGAACCGUUUGGUUAUGUAAUGUCGACUUAUAAAAAGUUGAAGAUUUCGAACAACCAGACUGAAUCUAAAUAAAAUAAUAAAUGAAAAUUAUAAUACAAUGGAAACAAAAAAUAUUAUAGUUUAACAUGGAUGCAAUUCAAUAUAUUUAAAUAAUAACUAAAUCAAAAUAAAAUAACAUAAUGUUUAAAACAAAUUAUACCCUUUUUAACAAAUUAUUCUUAUACUUUAUAUUAUAAUUAAUUAUUAUUUUAAUUACAUAAAUAUUUCGGAUUACGGGCGUGCAGCAUGAACCUCUCAGCUUUGCAACUCAGAUGGAAGGUUUACUUUGGACAACCUCAUGUAUGAAACACAUGAGGAUAACUUCGAUACGGUUCGAGACGGGCUGAUCGGACCUAAUAGACAUGACUACAAACCCAACGGAUUGGCCAACAUUCGUGACAUAGAUCGAGGUGUUCCAGAGAUUACAGGAAGAUUUCGAGGAUGUGAGUAUGUCUCAUAUUCUUCAAAAUAGAAAUGGUCGGACAGAAGCAUUAGCAAAAGAAACAAGGACCAGAAGCUAUAUUUUUUUCAUAUAGAUCAGAUCCAGCCAAAUUGAGAUGCUCCUCGGAAAAUUGGCUCGUCUGACUAUUACUUAAUCUAGUGUAGAUGAGCAAGUGACCAAAAAAAAGUUACACCUAGUUUAUACUCCCUCCGUUUCAAAAAAAUAGAUUUUUUAAUGUUUUUACACAUAUUAAAAAAACACAUUAAAUUAUUAUAAUAAAUGUAUUAUUUUCUAUAAUUUUUAAUUUUUAAUAUCUUUUAACCAAUAUUAAUGGGCAAAUCUCCAAAAUAGCAACUUUCUAAAUUUAUAUCACAAAAAUAGCACUCAAAAACUAAAAUGACCAAAAUAGCACAUUUCUAAGUUUAUCCUUUGAAAAUUUUAAUUUUUUUAUUUUUCAAAAUUUGAAAUCUUAUCCCCAAAACUUCAAUUUUCAACUCUAAACCCUAAACCCUAAACUCUAAACCCUAAAUCCUAAAAGGAUAAUUAACAAGUGUUAACCCUAAACCCUAAACCUUAAACUCUAAACCCUAAACCCUAAACUCUAAACCCUAAAUCCUAAACUCUAAACCCUAAACUCUAAACCCUAAACCCUAAACCUUAAACUCUAAACCCUAAACCCUAAACUCUAAACCCUAAACUCUAAACCCUAAACCCUAAAUCCUAAACUCUAAACCCUAAACCCUAAACCCUAAACCCUAAACCCUAAAUCCUAAACC
rnacentral:lncRNA from 1 species